ACUUGCUAAUAAUCCAGUAUGAUAAAGUUUCUAGUGUUCUGUUAUGUAAUUAUCAUUUAUAAGUCACAUACAUAUGAAAUUACAUACAUUUGAAAUGCACACUCAUGGUAAUCACUGAUGCUCGAAUUUCUGAACCAAAAGCAAUUGAAUCAAAACAUAUUUAUUCCUGUAAACUUAUUUUGAUAUACUUCAUGUGAAAAACUAGCUUUCAAACAUGGCAGAUGCUUUUUAUGCUGAUUUUUAAUUAGGAAGAAUUCAAGUUAGCUUCCAUGAUUAGUAUAUAUGCAUUUGUGCUCCUACAAAUAUGGAGUUUAUUAAGAUGAUAUUUAGGAUUGUAAUUCUGGCUUUAAGAGCAAGCUAAGAUUUUAUGUAGUCUCUUAAAAUUUAGUUAUUACUUUAGUCUUUUUAAAUUCCUUUAUAGACAUGCAACACUUUGGCAAAUAUAACUUGAUGUUAAAAGAUCUUUUAAAUUGUUCACAAAAGCAAGUUAAAUUUUACAUAGAGCAUAAGGGUCAUUAGUAUUCUGAGUCAUUUUCUUUUCUUUCUUUCUGUGUUUACUACAGUGAAUAUGAGAAAUAUACAUGUAUAUACAUAUAUGAGAGAACUUUCUGUAGAGUUUCCUCCAGAAUGAGUGAUAAGGAUGGAGAAAGCAAUAGAAAAGUGAGGACAGGCAGACACAGUCACUUGUGGUGCCUGAAUAAUGGCACAUUGUAUUCUGCCCUUGUCCACUACGUUCUCAUCCUAUCAACUGUUCAGGAAAAUGCUACAUUUCUUGGUAUCACUGUUCUUCACUAUUUCUACUGUCAAAUUUCAGAAACUAUUAGUAGGUCUCACAUUGUUAGGACUUUAGGCUGGAAGCCCUUAUACUAAGGUUAGAGUAUAAGGUGUGUAUGCAGUAAUCAGUAAUCUCUUUGGAUUACAUGCAGCACAUGCUAUGUGAAUAUUGUUUUUCUUCUGGGCACAAUAUAGUCAAUGGGUCUUACAUUUUUUCAACACAAGUUUUCAAGUUUAGAACUGAUAUGAUUAUGAAGAUUUUGAAGGAAUUGUGAACUUUCAGUAUAUUUAUCUUCAUUGAUAUUCCAGAUGGUGUCAGAUGUAAAAACUGAAUUUUGUGAGCCCUUUUAAAUUUAAAAUGUUUUGCAGAAGAAUACAAUCUAUUCAAAACAAUUUUAUUGGUACUUUCCCUUUGAUCAUUCACUAAAUCUUAAACUGAAUUAGUCAUUCUUGCCAAUAAAAGUAUUUAUAAAAGUCCAUUUACAUUGGUUUUAUGGUCACUUUAUACACUGUUAAAGUGAAUUAUUGUUCUUGAACUAAAUGUGUAUUUUUAAAUAUUUGGCUAAUAUCAACUCUGUUUUAUGAAAAUAGAUCUCUUUUGAUACUCUCCAAGGAUUUGUUUUUGUUUGCUUUUGGUUGCAGUUAUCAGUAGAUGAAAUAGUUCUCAUGUAAUCAUGCUCUUUUUUUGUUGUUGUUAACUAGUGGUUACUCUAAAAAUGUCUUGUUCUGCGUAAUAUCCCCAUCCUUUCUCAUGUGGAUACAUUGCUUCUCACUUAUGAAGGUGCUUAAUCUUUGUUUUCCAGUAGCAUAUUUUUUCACUUUAACAAAGAUUCUCAUUAUGCCAUAUCUAUAGCAACUAAUAAAUAAUCUGUGUCUUUUUCACUAAUAUACCAGCUAUAGAGAAGUUGCCGGGUUAUUUUGGCAAUUCAUUUGGCUGGCAGAGGAGAAUGUGAUCCUUUUUUUAAUAAUCCAAAAACAACUUCACAUUUCCAUUUGAUGGUGAACGUGUUUCCCACCUAAAAGAUAGCCAGGACCCAUUAGCUUUAUUCGUGGUGCUAGAAGCAGUAUUUUUUAUAACUUUUUCUCUCCUAGUGACUCACUUUUCCAAAAGAAACAGUUGAAAUUUAGUAAGAUGAACAUAGAAGGCCAAAAGCUGUCCUGAGCUGUAGACUUAUUUCUCAGCCAGAUGCUUGUCUUUCUCCCCAGCUGCAAACUUUCUCUGUACACAGGGGUCUCUUUAGUGCCAAGGUGGAUAAGAAAAAAGAGCUAGAAAUAUAGUUGCUGUUGCACGGUUGACCCCUCUCACUCAAACUCCAGCAAGUUUUGUUUUUCCUUAGAAUCCUCAGAGGAAUGCUUUGCCUAACCACCCAUCCGACCGCCUGCAAUUUACUUUUAACAUGUUAAGUUAAUAGUUCUUGAACAUAAACUUUUGGCGGGAGUAACUGAAAAUUUAAGUUUGUUAAACUUUUACAUACUUCACUGUAGUCCACAGGGUAUUUUAAACACAGCCAUUUGGCUUCAGAUCUAAUUCAUACCCCCAAAAUAUAUAAUAUGAAAAGUCUGAGAAGUAAUGCAUAAAGUACCUUUCCAAGUUCUUAAGAUCUUAUUUCUGCCAGGUAAUCAAGAACAAAUACACAAUAUUUCCAUCAUUAAACAUGCUAGACGUGUAGACAUAGCAUGAGUUGCUAAAACAAUUUAGAGUUGUAGUAAUAGGCAAGAAUUUAAGUCUCUAAUUACUUUGUGUGUGUGUGUGUGUGUGUGUGUGUGUGUGUGUGUGUGUGUGAGAAAGUGCAGGUUUUAGAGACGAUAAGGCAAUAUAGAAUAGAUAAAUGACUUAGGUGACACCGUCUCCUGUGGAAUACUAUGGAGUGUUAGUUCAGUAAUUUUAAAAGAUUAUGAAAAGGCCAUCUGUUCUAACUUAGAAACUGAUGUUAAUAUAUGGUUCUUUUUAAAUCAAGUAAACUAAGUUAGAGCAUAAUGUGUAUACUAAGAUACCUUCUUAAUGCAAGCAAUAAACAAGGAAAAGGAUCAAGGGACAGACAGGUGUCAAGGGAAGGGAGGGAAGAAAAGGUGAUACAAAAAGAAUUAAGACAUCUACAUGUACAAACUUCCACAAGACAUCUAAUAUUACUUACUGUACACAUGCAUUAAUAAAUUAAGAAACAUUUAGGUUUUCAUGUUUCUGUAUGGAUAUACAUACAAUGACAUAUAGCUAUACAUGUAGUAUGCAUAUAUACGUAUAUAUAUAUAUAUGUUUAUAGAUGUAUAGUACACUGUACGAGUACAAAGAAAGUAAAUUUCUCAUUAUCUCUGAAAGUAGAAAUGAAAUAGGAAGUUAAAGUGAGGGCUGCUGGUCAGAGGCUAAAUUCAAAAGUGUCACUCGUCUGAGGUCGGUCACUGGGACGUGACUGGAAGGGUGCUUGUUCCUCCUUUCUGGUUGCCAUGGGUGAACACCUUUUUUUCUACUGUAUUUUUCUGGUAUCCUCUUUCUGCCUUCUAGCCAACUGACUAUGGACUGAAACUGUGAGCUAAAAUAAAUCUGUACUCCUAUACAGAGAAAAAUAACUGUGUCAAUCAAAUUUAAGCCACAUGUACAUGUAUCUAUAGAAAUAUUUAGUGUGUUUGUUUCAAAAGCAUUACAAGUAAGUAUGUAUUUGUUCAUGCAGAGAGUUUCUUGCAAAUACACUCAGGUUAUUAAUGACAUCAGAUGAACAGAAUAAUAGUGAAAUGAAUGAAAAAGAACUUACUUUUUACUUUAUGUAUUUCUGUCUUCAGGAAAAUGUCACUUUUUAAAACAUUCUAUUGCAGUAUUUAUUGAACAAGUGUUUAAAUGUUUUCCCUGAAUGGUCUGAUACUUGGUGGUAUUCCACUUAACAGCAUUUAUUGGAAUGCCCUCAACAAUUUAUUCAAUAAAUGGUAAAAUAAUAUUGGGUUUGAGCUUUACUUUUAGAUCAAGCAAAGCCACAUUUUGAUAAGAAGCUAUGUUAUAUUUUUAAUCUCAUUAUUUUAUGGUAUUUGGGGUGACUCAUGUUUCCUUUUCACCUACUGGUUAGCACGCCCAAACACAGUGUUCCUCCUCAGUUUUUAUUUGGUCAGUUCAUCAUUUUACUAAUAGGCACACCAUGGACAGGACUGGCAGAGUUUGACAGUGAUCCCCAUACUUCUGUUAUAGACCAUGUCUUGGACAAAAGAACCUGGAAUUGGCUUUACUUUUUCUAGUUUCUCCCAGCUACAAUAUCUGACUCAGCAGCCUUUUUCCAGGUUGAUCCAAGAUACCUUGAGCACGGCUUCUGUGUUUGACAAUCUUGCAACAUUAGACCGUUCCCUCCCACUGAUCCCAUACCUUCCCCUGAGACUAAGCUUGACAGCAUCACUAGCCAUGUAUAGCAUGGCUAGAGCAUAAACAUUCUUUUAUGUGCUCAUUAUGUAACCUUUAAACACAAUUUAUAUGUGAUCCUGGACUAGUUUCUUAAAUUCUGACAGCCUUAAUUUUCAAAUGUAUUUAAAACCUCAUGUCUUCAGGGGGUCGAUUCUAGGGCCCCUUUCAGAUGGGAAAAGCCAUAUCAGCUCAAUUCCUUCAUGUGAAAUGGAGACUACAAAUCAUCUCUAGAAUGCUUAUAUUACCUAAUGCGAUGUAAGUGCUGUGUAAAUAGUUGUUAUGCUGUAUUGCUUAGGGAAUAAUGACAAGAAAACAGUCAGUAUGUAUAGUAAUAUGUAUGGCAUAUAGCAGCACAAUUUAUAAUAGCCAGAUCUUGAAAACAGCAUAUAUGUUCAUCAACAGAGGAAUGGAUAAGGGAAUUGUAAUAUUUACACACAAUCUGGAACAGCUAUGCCAUAAAGAAAGAAGAAUUUGAGGCAGUGAUAGGUAAAUGAAUGUGAAUUGAGAGCAUAAUGUUAAAGGAAAUAAAUCAGAAGUUUACAUGCUACAGGUUUUCUCUUACAUGAGAAUCUCUCUCUCUCUCUUAAUGUGCCAAUAAAGUGUUUAAUUUAAUCAUACUCCAUUUGUUGUUUUUACCAGUGUUUAUUGUACAUUUUAGUAAACUUUAAAUUUUAGUCAAUUUUAUAUACACAAUUAUUACAAAUGAUUACAAUAUAAAAUUAUUAUAGUACCAGAGUUCUUGUAUAUUCCACACUUACUUUCUCAUCACAUUAUCAUAUCUGUCACAAUGAAUGAAAUAAGCAAUGCAUUAUUACAAAUUAAAGGCUAUAUUUUAUUAAGAUUUUUCUCAGUCCCCUUUUCUUGUCCAGGAUCCCACUUGAGACACCUCAUUCCAGUUAAUGGUCAUGUUUUCUUAGCCUAUUAUUUGUUAUGACACUUUUUAGACUUUAGUUCUAAUGACCUUGAUUUAUUUGGAAUAUACUGAGCAGUUGUUUUAUAGAAUAGCUCUCAAUUGAAACUUCUCUGAUAUUUUUAUCAUACCUACCUUGAACUGUUGCAAUUUUGGAAGAAACACUGCAAUAAUUUUAUUCAUUUUUAUCUCCCUCUUUUAAUACUGCCCCUUUGAAAGAAAGCCUUUGCUUAGCCCACACUUGAAGAAAGAGAUGCAUUGCCCUCCCUUCUUGAAUGUUAUGUUUAUAGACUAUUCGAAAUAAUUAUGCAUGAGCUAAUUAUUUAUUCUGUAUCUUACUUAUUUGUCUAAUCAUUUAUUUACAUCAGAGUAGACACAUGGAUAUUAUUUUGUUUUAUAUUAUAAUUCAGUACUACUUUAUAUUGUUCAAAUGUAUUUAUGUUGCUCAGAUUUAGCCACUGGGACCUAUUUGAAUUGCCACCUAUAAUCAUGUGACAUAGCCUACCAAUUUACUUUCUUUUGUAUUUAGGCACCUACUUUUUGUGCUGUAAGAUACCCUAAACUCGUCUUAUGCAUUCUUAUUGUGUAAUCAAGUAUUUCUUUAAGGAGUCUCGGUUAUGUUGUUUUGUUGUUACUGUUGGAGACUGGCAGUAGAAACUAAGAGCUGGGUGCUAGGUGUGCUCAUUGCUAAUGUGGUGUCUCUGCUUUGAGGGUGACUCAAAUGAGAGAAAAAGAAAAUAUAUUUAUCUUUUCUUGACUUUAAAAAUUAACACACUGGGUAUUGAACCUAGGGCCUCUUGCAUACUUGCUAAGCACUCAAGGACUACUACAUUACUAGCUGUUAACAAUUAUUUUUAUUGUUGUUGCUGUUAGUUUGAGGUAUGGCAUCACUAAGAUGUCUAAGCUGUGCUCAGAUUUGGGAUCCUCAUGCCUCAGCCUUCUAGGGUUAAAGGUAUGCAUCAUUUUGACUGAGCUUCCUUGAUUUUUUAAAUCAGUGUUUUGUCGUUUUCUGUAUGUACAUGAUAUGUGUAUUCUAUUUAUAUCUAAAGAUUUUAUUUUUAAUAGUGUUAUAAAAGAUUUUAAAAAUUCAAGUGCUAUUUGCUCUUAAUGAAGAAAACAAUUGACUUUUAAAUACUGACCUUGUAUCCCAGAACUCAGCUAAACCUGCUUUUGUGGGUUUUUUUUUGUUUGUUUGUUUGUUUGUUUUUGGUAAUUUUUGGCAUUUUCUAUAUAGACAAUCGUGUUGUCUAUGAAGAGAAACAGCUUUAUAUAUUCCUUUCUAAUAUUAUGUUUUAGUUACUUUUCUUGUCUUAUUGCAUUAGCUACAUGAUGCUGAGUAAAGAUUAGGUACAGGGCACAUCUUUGUCUUAUUCUUAUGUCAGGGAAGACAGUUGUAUUUUGUCAAAUACUGUACUUUCUGCAUCAAAUAUUAUGAUCAAGUGAUUUUUCCAUUGUGUAUUAUGGUGGAUUAUAUUGAUUUUUCAAAUGUUAAACCAGAAUAAUAUAAUGAAUAUAAUGAAUAUCACCUGGUUUUAUUGUAUAAUUGCUUUAUAUGUUGUUGCAUUUCACUUGCAAAUGUUUCACUGAGAUUUUUGUGUUUAAAAAAAAAUGCUGGUCUAUCAAUUUUGUUUCUUGUAAUACCCUUUUCUAGAUUUGGCAUAAAAGUAAGACUGGGUUCAUGGAACAAGGAAUUGUAUUUGUGCUUUUAUUAUUUUGGACCGAAAUGUAGACAGCAGAUAUGAAGUUUUUACACCUGUGAAGCCUUUGAGACGGGAAGAUUAAUAAUAAUUAAUUCUACUAAUUUAUAGAUAUAGAUAUUUAUAUGAUGUAUUUCUCCUAUGUAUGUUCAAAUUGUUAGUUCUUAUGAAAUUAUAAAAUAUAUUUUAUCAGAUAUAUAAUUAUCUUCAGGAAAUCAGAUUUAUAGAUCUGGAGAAUGGAGUGACAAAGAAAAUGGUUCAAACAUGCUCGUAUUAGGAAUAUAAUCUUUUAAAUAUUUUAAUCUGAGUUAAUAGGAAUAAAUAUUCUCUUUUUAUUAGUGAGUGUAUGUUGAAAAUAUUGUUUUUUGACAGUUCUAUAUUUUAAUUGUCUGCAUAUGAUCUUUGUAAAAAUAUUUCUUUAGUCAUUUAAGAUUAUUUUUCUUAUAGUAAUUUGAACUAUUAAUCCUAUUCAACUUAUAUUUAACAUUUAUUUGAAAUCAUUUCUGUUUUUUGUAUCUCACUAAAAAAGUUAUUUAAAAUAUCUCACCAAUUAAUGUGUUCAAAUUACUUUUAUUAUUAGCAUACCUUCUUUAAAGAAAGAAACUACUGUAGUAUGUUUUGGAGUAAGAUGCAAGAUACUGGUUUUACAUGCAAGAUAGUGUUUUAGAUUUUAUUUUAAAAUGUUAUAAUUUCAAGAUAUGGUGGUCUUUUGGUAUAAACUAGCAUGAGUAAUAAUACAAAUACUAAAAGAAGCUAAAAAUCAUAAUUUUACACAAUUACAUAUGACAAAAAUAUGGCAUUUUCAUGAUGGUACCUUUUCACAGCAAUGUAUUUAUUGGCAGUAUUUGAGGUGUGUAAUGCUUAUCAAUAUUGUCCUACAAUUCCAACACAUUCACAAAAUCACUGGACACUCAUGUGUCAAUAUUCUAAAGUGCCCAACAAACACUAUUCAUUCUCUUUAAAAUUGGUGAUUUUGUUCUCAAUUUGUUUUCUAUGUCAGAAGCAGAGAAUAGGAGAUUAGGAAAAAAUAUCACAGCAAUAUUUAAUUCAGUGCCCUACCCAAGGUAACAUUAAAUGAAUUGAGGAAAUGGGUAAAUCAAAGAGGAAUGAAUAAGUGCUCAUGUGCACACAUCAGUUAGUGGGAACUGUUGCAAGGUAAAAUAUCUUCUAAAGUGAUAAUUUCAGUUAACUUCUUUAUUUCUUCAGGAGAGUUGUAUUCAUUUGCUAUUGGACUAUUUUAUUCUUUCUCACUGUAUUAAUUUUACAUGUAAAUGUCACUGACUCUUACAAAAAGCAAUACUCUGCACUGCAUCUGGUUUGCAAAUUGUGCAUAUAUCAAAACAAUCAUGAAAAAUAAAACUUUUCUACCAUUUUGAGUAUCUUAAAUAAAAAAGUAAUUCCAUGAUUAUUUCAAAGUAUAUGCAUAUGAACUUCAGACACCUCAAAUACAAUAUUCCUGUUUAGAAUAUGGAAAUGGCUAGUAUUAUGGAAGAAUUGUGUGAUAUUUUCCUUUUAUUCUUAAUAUAACAUGUGUCCUUUAUUUAACGGAAUAAAUUGCAUUUCCUUCAUAAGUUACAUGUGCUCUUGGACAACCUCCAAUAUUUAAGUAUAAAAAUAGUUGAGUAUAGAAAUGAAUUCUGUUCUGAUAGGACACCCUCUUACCUCUUUUAAUUUAGUCAGUGUAUAGGUUUAUUGCUGUUAUGGUUGUCAUAGUCCUAUAGCUGGGACAAAAUGUCUAAUACUCACAACUUAAAGAAAGAAACUUACUUUGCCUCACAAUUUUAGAGUCUAUGCCUGACUGGGUCCAUAGCAGAAGCAGUAGAAAGGUCAUGGGAGCGGGAUUUGGGGCACUAUAUCUGGUCCCUGGACUCUUCUGGCACUCUUGUCCUGCUCUGUGCUACUUGGUUCUGUAAAGCGGGCUACUUUGCCCCUCUCUUCUCUUCUGCCAUAGUUUUUCUAUUUUGGUGUCAGCUAACAAGCCAAAAGGCAGAGUGCAGAAAAGGUACUCAAUCUUGACAACCAGAAGGUAGAGGAAGAAAGGAAGAACUGGGGCCAAGGACAUACACUUCACUCACACCCCCAAAAGACCCACCUCAUCCAAUCAAGCUUCACUCCUACUAGACCUUCAGUUAGGGACUCAUCAAUGCAUUAAUCACUGAUGAGUUCUAGUCCCCACAGUCCAGUCACCCUCUGAAAGCCCCAUCUGAACACAUGGGACUUUGAGGAAACAUUUUAUAAUUACUCUGUAGCAAUUAUACAUGUCAAACCUUGUGUAUUAGGUGGUUUAAACAGAAACUUAUUUUCUCAUAAUUCUGGUGGCUUGCAGUCCAGGAUGAAGCUGUUUUCAGAGUUGGCUUCUUCUGAACCCUCUCCAUAUUUUACAGACAGACGUUUGUUCCAUCUUGUCACACAUGGUCCUUCCUCUGUGUGUUUUCCUUGUCUCCCUAUUUUAUAACAAUACCAGACAUAUUGGAUUUUAACUUACUUUCCUCUUUAUAUAUACCCUAUGUCCAUAUACAAUCACAUUAAUAGGUCCUGAGAGAGAGAACUUCAACAUUUGGAUUUUGGAGAGGACACACUUUGGCCUGUAACAUUCACAUCAACAGGCUAGGAUUUUUCAUUAUAAGACAGGGAAAUAGUAUAAAGGAAUUAUGUUCAGUUUCUGUGGCUACUGAGAAAUACCUGACAUGCACACCUUAAAAGAGGAGAGGUUUAUUUUGAGUCACAUUUUCAGAGGUGUCCAUCCACUGUUGCCUGACUCCAAGGUAGAAAUGUCCUAUCAGAAAGGCAUAGAGGACCAAAAGAGUUUACAUCAUGGCAGCCAGGAAGCAGAGAGCAGGAAAAGAAUGACAAAGAGAAACAUAUUUAUUCAGGAAGCAGAUACAGUCCCCAAAGCCAUUCUCCCUAGACUUAUUUCUUUCAACUAGGCCUACUAAGUCUCCUACUAAGACCUACUAAGUCUCCAUUAUCUGCUAAUAAUGCACUCAAAUUAUGAUAUCAUCAGUGGAUGAAUCCAUGAAUGAAUAUCCAUGGAUGAGGUUAGAGCCUUUACAAUCCAAUCAUCUCUGGAAAAGCCCACAAACACACCCAGAAGCAUGGCUUACUAAUUUUCAUAGGUGUUUCUCAAUCUGGUUAAGUUGACAGUCAACUUAAUCAUCAUAGGAAAUAAUGACUGAGUUCAACAAAAGUUAUUACAGGACUGUUAUUCUAGAGCUAAGCUAAUGCAGAUAGUUAUAGCAAUAGCGGGUAACAGUGGAUGAUUAUUUACGAGAUUAUAAUAGAGUUUUUAGAGAAGCUAGCUGAAUAUUUUCUUGAAGUGGAAUAAAAGUGAAGAAAAGAAAUCUCUUCUCAGCAUUUUAUAUGAUGUCUGAACAUCAAGCCACAUAUUGCUCUCUAUGAAGGUAGAUUCAGUAAGAAUAAAUUAUAUUUUACUAUAAAAUUACAAUUUACGUAAUUUAGACCUCUAGUUUCUAAGGUUAAAAGACAAUACAACACACUCCUCAUUUGGGCCUGGUGAAAAACCAAAUAAACUACUUAAAGCAGAAGAGACAACUUUCUGCAUGGCUGAGCUAUUAGAGUACUUCAGUAACACUGCAAUUUGGCUUCUCAAAGCCAGAUUGAAUUUAGCUUUGUCAAAAAUGUACAAGUCUGGUCCUGGUAAAACAACAGAAAUUUAAAUCUCCAAAUAAAAAGAUGGUGGUUUUCUUUGCCAUUACUUUCCAAUAAAUAGAGUUAGAAAUGUUGGUUUAUAGUCCAAGUCAUUGUACUCCUCACUCAUCAUCUCCGCUUACCACUUGUAGAAGAAAGCACCAUUUGGCAUUUAUCUCUUGUGCAAUAAGAUUCUAAGUAUCAGAUCUUUCCCUUUUAUUACAAUCAGAUAAUAUUAAUUUUUACCUCGGUUGUACUUCCUCUGAAUUCUUUUCGUUUCUCUUAGGCUUUAUACUAUUAGCGGACAUGUUUUAAUAUUUUACAGUGCAAACGUGAUUUCUGCACUCAGCCUAGUAACCGAGUAAGCUUCUCAUUGAGGCAAGGUCUGUUGGGUUUCUUGGUGUCUUUUCAUCUCAGGAAAACAGUGUUCUUGUGUGCUUUGGUGUUUCUUCUGGAGAAAUUUUGCAGAACACAAGGGAGUCUGCACUAACAUCUAGGAUGAGGGGAUAUCAACUUGCCAUCUUCAGUUUUGGGAUGUCAAUUUUGCAUCUUAUUUUGGUGGAAAAUGGUGAAUUGCAAUGAGUGGAUAUCCUCUUGGUUCAUAGUGUUGAUUUAGGAGCCUUGUUAUUGCUAUACACAGGCUAUUUUAAUGUUAAUCUAAACACAUCAGAAAAGUUUAGGAUAGAAAUGUCUAAUUCCAAAUUUCCUCCACAAAAAAAUAUCAUUCUUCACCUUGUCGUUGAUUUCUUUUGCUGUGCAAAAGCUUGUUAAGAUGAGCUCCCAGUUGUUGAUUCUUUGAAGUACCUCUCCUGCAGUCUGCGUUUUGUUCAUGAACUCUCUACCUACACCUAUGUCUUCAAAAUUUCUACCUACGUUCUCUUCCAGUAGAUUUAGUGUUUGUAUUUUAAUAUCCAGAUCUUUGAUCCAUUUUGAAUUUAGCUUAGAGCAUGUUGACAGAUGUGGGUCUAAUUUUAGUCUUAAGCGUGUAGAGAGUCAGUUUUUCCUGUAUUUAUUAAAGAGUCUGUCUUUCUUCCAGUGAACAGAUUUGGCCCCUUUGUCAAAGAUGGAAGUGACUGACUGUGUUCAUAGUUGUGACUACAUCGUCUAAUCUGUUCCACUGGUUUGCAAGUCUGUUGAUUUUACCAGUACUGUGCUGAUUUUAAUCACAGUAGCUUUACAACCGACUGAUGAGAAAAAAAUUAUCCAAUUGUCCCUCAAACAAAGGACUUCUAUCUAGAACAUAUAAAGAGUUUAAAAAAAAAAUCACAUUCCCAAACUCAAAGACCCAAUCCAAAAAUGGGUAUCUGGGAUAAAUAUACACUUCUCAGAUGAGGAUAUAUAAAUGGCAAAUAAUCAUUGGUCAUUCAAGAAAAAGAUCAUUGGUCGUUCAAGAAAUGCAAACUAAAACACAAUGAGAUUCCAUCUUACCCCCACCAAAAUUGGCUAUCAUCAAGAAAUCAACCAAUAACAAAUCUUGGAGAGAUUGUGGGGAAAAAGAUGCACUUCUCCAAUGGUGGUGGAAGUAUAGACCAGUAAAGCCACUGUGGAAAUCAGUGUGGAGAUUCCUUAAAAACUAGGAUUAGAGGUCCUAUUCCAACCAACUAUUCUCCUUCUGGGCAUAUUUCCCGAAAACUUAAAAAUAUUAUACCCCUGUAUGCAGCACAAGUUGUAAUAGUUAAAUCUUGGAAGCAACUCCAUUGCCCAUCAACUGAGAAAUGGAUUAAAAGGUUGUGAUAUUUUUAUGCAAUGGAGUACUACUCUGUCAUAAAGAAGGAUAGCCUUGAGAAUUUUAUAGGUAAGGGGUGCAAGUUUGGACUAUACUCAUACGGAAAUAAAUCAGACUUACAUAUGUAAACAAGUUAUUGUCUCCCUGAUGUGAGAAACAGAGAAUAAAUAAAUUCUAAAAUGUAUAGUAGAUAUUGUGACAUGGGAAGAAAUUGUUCAAAAGGAAAAAGAAAGUAGGUUAGAUAAAAGGGGAAAGGACAGUAUAGAAAAGAGGAAAAAAGUCAAUUGGACUAUUAGUAUCUUUUAGAUCAUUAAAAAAGGAAAGUUUUGCACUAUUAUCAAUUGGAGUAAUUUUUAUGCCCAUAUCUUUUACCCUGAGCAACUAUUUUAAAUAUAAUAACAUGUAACAUAGUAACUACUGUUAGCAUCCUAUUAUUUUGUAUGAAAUUGUGUUUUACCUUUCUUCCAUAAAAUAAAGAAAAAUCAUCCUUCUUUUAAAUGACUAUAAAAUUACUCUCCAGGGACCCUAUCCAAAAGCUAAACAGCAGAUCAGCCCCUCUUUAUCACGAGGAAUAGGGUUAAAAUUCUGUUUCCAAUGACAACUCUCACCCCCAGAACAGAUUUCAGCCAGGCAGUUAGCAAAGCUGGUGGGUGAACUACACAGGCCGUGGUGGGUGCACAGCUCAGAGCCGGAAAGCAAACAGCUGCUAUAGCCUGAUUUGAGUUAAAAUAGUGUGAGUGUUUAGUCUGGCGCAGGGCUUCAGGGGAGAUUGGCAGCUGGGUCAAACAAAGUCCUUCCAUUGGCUCCCUUCCCAGGCAGCUUCUGCUAGUAUUUAGUAGGUACUAGUGCAGUGCAGGGCCCUUUUCUCAGGCAAAACCUAACAUCUGACCGCACCCUCUGCUAUUUCAAGAAAAGGAGAGGGGGAAAAAAGGCUUCAUUUUCCUUCUUUUCGUUAUAAAUUUUCUACUAGGCAACUUAGAGAAUUGCGUAUUAGCACUGUAUUUUAUCUUGAGGGCUGACGCACUGGGCUCUCGACGUGGUGUGGAAAACAGCCUGUUACAGAGCUGAAUUCAUAAAAGGACUUCAUGGGUUGUGAAAGAAUAUCUGUGUGCUUAGGCAGGAAACUUUUUGAUCUGCAAAAAAGCCAGAAGACAUCUAGGAUAUCCCUAAAGAUCAUGCAGAAAAAGCUUUAUUCACCUAUACAGGCAUUUGAACUGGGCAAACAGGACAGCAGCAGCAGAGAGCAUGAGAUCAUUACAGCCCUGUAGCAAACUGGCAUCCUGCCUUUUCGCCACUUUGGUUCGGGAGACAAACGUGUGCAAUCCUCAUUUCUAAAGUCAGCACAGCCUGGAAGGAUUCCUGGUCUCUCCCACCUUCUACCAUUCUGCUGCCAGUGACGGCAAGGAUUGGUGCAGUUUCUGCGCAGUGCUUUGUGCCUGGAAUACCGAGAAGGAAGAAAAAGAAGACAAGCAUGCUGGUUCUUCUUUUCUAAGAAAUAACAGGAGCCCUGAAGAAAAAAAAAAGUCUGAGUUUGUCUUACUACGUUCAAGAGUUCUGAAAAAAGAGAGAGAUGCUCCUGCUCAAAAUCAAAAACAAAAACAAACAAAAAUCCAAUCCAAAACAAACCAAAAAAAAAAAAAAAAAAAAAAAAAAAAAGCAAACAUUGGCUUAUAUAACUGCAGAGACAUCGGGCUUUCUAAAGCAGCUUCUUAAGGCAACAUAACCAAAUGGGCCUUCUUUAUUUUUACUAUUUCAAAAACUAUGGCAUGAUUAGCAAUACAUUGCAGGUGGUGAAAGCGCACCUUUCAUAUCAGGGAAAAACUUAAAAUGGAUAUGAAAAGUGAAGAAAGUGAUCAUAAGAGAAAAUCAUCUCAGGUGAAUUCCUUUGUCUGAUCUGGUCAAGUGCUAAUACUAAGAACAUCAUAUAGAAUUUACUAAAUAAAUGAAUUAUUUAUCGGAUUAAUUUUCCAGUUACUGACAGCAGCUUCAGAAAUGUAGAUUUUAGUUCACAUGAAGCUAAAGUUGACUACACUGUAAGUAACAUUUGAUUAAACUUGACAAGUACAGUUAUCAUCAUGGUUUUGUUACCAGGUGGUAGCAUGCUGAGGUUUCCUCUUGGAGAUUCUUUCCAGAUUCUUCUCAGGUUAAUGGUUACUAUCUUUUAUUUCUCCUAUUGUAAUAUCAGAUCUAGACCUUCCUAACAAAUCUCACAUGACCUUGUGCCAGAAUAAUUGAAGGUAGGUACCAUUUUUUCAGUGAUAUGAGCGUCAGUAUUUGGAAGCUGUUAUGAGAAUGUGUCCUGAAUCUUUGUGAUUGAUGGAUUUCACCCUUUUGCCCAGCAGUUUGCCAUACUCUACUCUCCUAGCUCAGUUUGGUGAUACCAUAGGAAACUAAAUCAGUCUUGUAUGUUUUUCCCAACUUUUUUCAGGGAUUUAACCCAUGCUACAAAACCCAUACUCUACCACUAAACUGCAUCCCCCCCUUUUUAAAAUUCACUUUAAAAGAAGAUCUCAUUGAGCUUUUGAGGUUGGCCCUAAACUCAUAGUCCUCUUGCAUUUGCCUCCUGAGUAGAGGGAUUACAGGUAUGUAUCAGCCUGUCAUUCAUGCCAGUGUCUAAAUGCUAAGCAUGCUUGACAAUCUAGAUUGCAUUAAUUUCUCACGGAAAAAUAAAUGUCUAUGUUUCACAUUUAAUUCUAUUUUUUGAUCUGUUAAAACUUUAAUCAGUUUGUCAUGCUAGUCCAGUGAAAACAUUCAAUAAUUUUAUUGUAACCAAUUUUUACUUCAAAUAGUGAACAGAAGAUUUUUGGAGCAAUUUCAAAAGUUUGUGAGAUUUUAAACAUGGGCUUUUUUUUUCCUUCACGCUGGAUUGAAUACUACGUUAAGUCUUAGAUAUCUCAAAUAGGAUAAUUUCUAAGAAGAAAUAAACUUGGUGGCAUAGUACAAAAGAUUGAGCAUCUCUUACCAUAAGAUAAAUCUUUUGCACACAACAUGCUAUUUCUGUUGGCCUUAGACAUAAGUGACUAUUUUACAUGACACCUUGAGACUUGUAGCAUUGACUUGUCAUUGAGCUCUUGCAGUGUAUGUAACACAUUAUUAUGUGACACUCUCCCUUUUACGCAGAUCAUUAUCUUCCUUUCUGACCAUCCCAACUGUUACUCUUGUAUUUUUCUGAUUUGCUCAGAUCUUCCCAAAGCUGAGCUCCACAGCUGGUUCUUUUCUCCUCACCCAUGAGCCCCUAGUCCUCUACUAUUCUUGCAGACUUGAGCAGAAACUCUCCGACCUGGAAGCUCUCAGAGUGUCAUCCAUCAAGGCACACAAGGCACACAAACACUCAUCCAUGUAUUCACACACAAUAAAUCUUUCCAUUUAUUGAGAUCAUUCAUUGUGUAAACUUGGCCCCGUUUCCUUUAUUUUGUGUAGCAAGACUUAAAUAUUCAAAGAGAUUGUUUUCAAAGUCACAUAAUCACAAGUUGAGGCUGAAAUGUAGAGUUUGCCAUUAAAUCAAUCUUUUCAAAGACUUUUUUCCUCUAUAAGAUGGGAUCUUUAUGAUCACAGUAUGGUAUUUUUGUGACAGGAAUUACAAUUUUAGAUACCUGGUCGACCUGCUUUUAUUACAACUACUGCCAUUUUGACUAAAGUGAAGAGAGUGUAUGAGACAGUUUGUUAAGAUCUUACUUUGGUUGGGGGCUGGGGAUUUAGCUCAGCGGUAUAAGCACUGCCUUGGAAGCAGGCAGUCGUGAGUUCAAUCCCGGGUACCAAAAAAAAAAAAAAGAUCUCACGUUGGUUGAGGUUGUUUAAGAGCUCCAUUUCCCUGAGAAAUUUACCUUCCAAGUCUUGUAUAUUCAGUCAUGAGUCACUUAAUAAUGAGGAUACACUAGGAAAUAUUGGGCAACUUCAUUGUUGUGUGAACACAAGAGGCACUUAAACAAAGAGGGGAAGGCCCAGUAUGCACCUACGCUGUGUGGCAGAGGAUCAUCCUAUAUAUAAACCAUAGGUGAUGCACGAGUGAAUUUUCUGUGAUUUUGUGAUUCUAUCAACUUCCUAUUUUAGAAUGUGGACCAUUAAUUAGUAUUUACCUAUAACUUAGCAUUUUCAAUCAGUCAACACAUGAAUAAAUGUAAUUUUCUAAUGUUAUUAUUUUCUAGCUGUUUAAUGACACAACUGAGAGUAUUAUAAAUAUUAGAUUUUUUCUGUGGGCACAUUAAAGUAAAACAGAAUAUUUUAAGAAGAUCAUAGUUAUUUCCCUUAUAUGUACAAUACAUAUUUUUACUUAGAUGCACAGCAUUUCAUUUUGACUUUUGUUUAAGACUGACUUUCUUGGGUGAGGGAUACAGCUGAGUGGCACAAGUGCCUGCCAGGCAAAUGCAAGGCCCUGAGUCCUCAUUAAAAAAAAAAGACAGAUUUACUUUCACUUUCUUAUGCUCAUUCUCUUAUCUACUAAAACAGUACUAUAAUAUGCUCCAAAUAACUUAAACCCAAAGGAUUUGUAAUCUACCCAUGAAGUUUAAAUCUGUCUACAAACCUUAAGAAAAUUUACAGCCUACUGCCAAGUAACAGCAGCAGCUUUUCUCAGGCUUCCACCCCAUUUCCAUUUCCUAGCCCCAUAUCUUUCCACCUGUACGAUACCCUGUAUUUUUUUCAGUGAAGGUCAAUGUCCAAGGCAAUCUCAUGACAGAAGGCACUGAGGUUUUGGGGUGGAUAGCCAGCACACACCGUAGUAGUUUUUCACUUCAUAGCCGGAGAAGACUAUGUCUGGAGAGACUAUGUCUGAACUCCUCUUGAUGUACUGCACUAACAUAAUCAUACAUAGACUUCCUUUAUAAAUGCAUGAAAUUCAAGAAUUAGAUUAUGUUAUAAAUUACCUUAGUAGACACAUAAAUCAGUGGAAGCUUUUAAACUAGGAUAACAUAAACAAAAAAAUCUUUGCUUGUUUUAUUUCCUCCAACUAAAGAGUGCUUUGAUUACUUUUGUUCUUGAAAAAGUUAUAUUCAGGUUUUAAUAUCUACUCUAUCUUUACAUUAAGAUAUAAUUAAUAAGGUUAAAUUUGUGUACUUGGACUUUUAUAUUUUGGUAUUUCUUAAUUUACUUUGUAUUGUUUUUGUUUCUGUCUCACUUGUAAAGGAUAGAUCAUAAGUAAUAGAGCAAAGGAAACUUGCACAGUCAUUCACUACAGUGUCCUUUAUUUAACAACAAAUAAAACUGAGCUUCAAAUGCAUUGAGAACACAUAUUUUAGUCAGAUGAUUCGUACAGUGUCUGCCUCUUUAACAGUCUAACUGUUUGAAAAAGAGGAAACAGUCUCAUUGAUUUAGGACACACAAUGACGACAUAGUAUAGCCCCACAGUGAUGUUUAUUCUGAAAUAAAUAAAUGCCUUGAACUAUUUCAUGUCAAACUUCUGAAUUCUAGAUUGGUGUUCUUUGUAUAAUAUGUUCUUUUCAUUCAAAUUUCAUUUUAUUCUAUGUAUUUAUUGAUCAAAAAUACCCCUUGAAAUUUUAACUUCUAACAUUGGCCUAUGAAAAACUGAUAUCUAAAAGGUAUAUGAACUCUUGUGGUUUUAUAAUUGCAACUGCCUAUCCUUGGAGCUCUAAUGAUAUAUACUCCUAGAGGAAAACCAAGGGAAAAUUGCAAAUGAAGUGUCAUCUGCUCCUAGUGAAACAGAUUGAGACAAGCCAUCAUCUACCCCAGAUAUCAAAUCUUGUGGUCCUUUCUUUUGUCUAACAACUGCUCAUUUAAACGUUUAGCUUCAUAGUUUUGCCUAGCUGUGUUGAUCUUGGCAGUAUCUAGGAUACUUUUCUAGUUAUUACUUUAAUCAUAGUAUAAUAUAUUUGAGAAAUGAAGGAAGUUUUUUUUUUUAUUUCCCUGCUGCAGAGGAGAUCAACACAUAUUCAGCAUGUUUCAGAGUCAGAUUGUAAGAGUAUAAAUCACUUGUAAUGGUCUUCAAAGAGUUCUCUAACUUUGCUAUAUUUCAUUUGAAAAGCACUGCCAACCUUAAAGCUCUUGAAUAGAGUGAAUGAAAUAAUAAAUACAAUAGAACAUAACUUUACUCAAACUUGUAUGAGUGCUCCAUAAACAUUAACUUCUAGCUCUUAUUAUUGCUAAUUGAUUUUUGAAAAUUGAUAACUUUAUUCAAUGUGACAUGAUCUUUCACAUGUUUAUCUUUAUGUAAACAGAAACAAAUUCCCUUUAAAACAAGAAAUAAAAUCAGAAUUAAUUUGUUUAUAUUAGAUGAUUUUAGUUGAUUGCAUUUUCAACAAAAGUAUUGUUGUAGACUUAACCAUGUUAAAAACUGAGCGUAUCCUCCCUGGCAUUCUUAGCACAUGUUGACAGUACAAAUAGCAGUGUAUCUGUAUGUUGAUGCUUGUUUGAAAUUCAUCCUGGUAGGAUGAUGUGUUAAUAAUUAAAAGUAGAAGUUUCCUGUGAGCAUUGAAUAAAGUUUGACCAGACACAGGUUAAUUUUGUCUGUCUGUAAUGUGUUCAAAAGUUCAAGACUGCUUUCUGAUUUAUUUUGUCAGAUCAAUUAUUAAACUCAUAAUUGCUAAAUACUUCCAUUUUUCUGCUAAAGCAUUUAGGACACUACAAGGUAGAGAAUCAGUAAAGCUUUGCAGUGAUAUACUUUCUCAAGGCCCACCCUUUCCAUCUGAAGAGGUAUUUGCCACAAGACAUUGGAAAGCAUUCUUUUCUCUCAGUUGUUAUUAAAAAAUAAAUCUGCCCCUAUGAAUUUAUCUUGCUCAUUUCAUUUAUUGCCAUUAUUUUGACCAUUUGAUUUUCCAAAUGCAAUUUCUAAAAACAUGAUAUUAUGGUCCAUUACCAACCACUAAUGGAGAAUUUCAUGACUAAAUUUUGCACCAAAAAUGAUUCUAUGCAAUGUGAAGAUAGAUUUACACAAUAAAGAAUGGUAAUAUUUAAAUGACCACAUAAUUUUAGUAGAAGACUGGCUUAUCUGUGACCUAAAUCUUCAAAUUCCAGUAAGUGGAGAAUUAUCUUCAGGUUCAGAUGAGUGUUUUUUGCAUUUAAGAGGUAUAAGGGAAACCAGUUCAACAAUAAAAUCUUUAUCAUUAUGAAAUCUGGAACUGAAAAAAUGAUUUGUGUAAUAAAUAUAUGGUUCAAAAUCUGAUACUCAUCUUGCAAGGUAAUUAGCAGUUCUGCUCUUUGAGGAAACAGAAAGGCAAUCGAUUUCUCUUCUAGAUGCUCUUUUCAUAGAGAUAGUAGGUGCCAUUCUCCCGCCUCCUUUUUUCUCUUUUUGAGACUGAAUUUCCCUAUGGAGUAAAGUUGACUGGCCUUGAACUCACUUUGUAGCGUAGGCUGCCCUUGAACUCACAAUGAUCCUCUUACUCAGCCUCACAAAUGCUGAGAUUACAGGCAUGUGCUACCACACCCAAUAGUAGGUGCAAUUCUUGAUGGAUCAAAUUGUACAAAAUGAAUGUUUGACUUAGAGUAGCAAUAUUAUGGGAUCAUUACAUGUCUCAUUUAUUUCCCUCAAUCCAUGUAGUGAUUAUAGAAACAAAUUUCAAAGAACUAAGUUUCUAGAAAAAUAUCUAGGGACCUCAUAGUAGCAUCAUAAUUAUUUCUACUUUUCAACACUGAAUAUCUGAAUUACUUUAAGAUUUUUAAAUUUUCUUUCUCUAUUGAUACUGCUAUAGUCUAUUUCCAACAGUGAGAUCUAGGGACAGUUAUGCAGUAAUGAUUCAGCAAUAGAAUGUAUGUGAUAUUCAUAGUUCAAACAGUACACAAGGAAAUUGAGUUUUUAUCUAGAAUUUAAGCCCUGAAAAGGAAAAUGAUAGAUUAUAGGUUUUCAAUUUUUAAAUAAAUAUUAACUUCUAAAUAUGUAUUUUAUAACUAACUUCUACUGAAAACUCUUUCUCAUGCUGUCUACAUGCUGUUUAAAGUAAAAAUGGUAAGAUAAAGAAAACAAUUAUUAAUAAAAUAGAGGUUAAGUGACCUACCUGAGUUGCAGUGCUAGAUCAUGGCUUUACCAAGAAUUAAACAUGGAUUUUCUGGCUUGACUACAUUGUUUUACUACUUCAAAGAUGGUAAUCUUUUAAAGCAUCUGAUCUCAGGGGUGGUCCCACCUCUUUAUUUGUCAGCAAAAGAUAUAUUAUACUAUGAUGAUGUUGGAAACAUGCAAAAUAUAAAUGCUAAUAUGACAUACAAUAUGUAAUAGUUAACCAUGAAUAGCAAUAUAAUGUGACAAAUACUCAUUAAACUAAGUCUUUCAGUAUAUAUAUUCCUAGAAAAAAAUAUUCUCUUUAAUAAUAAGAAGCCAUUAAUACUUGGAAUUAAGGAGAGGUGAAACCACUGACUAGUAAAAUAUUGUUAGAUUUUUGAAACUAAUUUAACAAUAUGCAGUAUAUUCAGGAGGAUUCAAUUUUUUUGACCAUCAUGUAGAUAGAAUUCUGCUACUACUUUGGAAGAGCAUAUGCCCAACAAAAGAUGAAUAUAUGUGGUUACUGAAGUAAGGUGAUAUUUGGGAAGGUAGAUGCAAAUAGAAAAUGUCUUAAAAGAUUACAGAAAAAAUAUAUCAAAUUAGAAAAUUUUGUGAACAACAUUUAGAAAUAAGUGAACUAUAGAAGAGAACAAAAAUAUUGCUGCACCAUCUUAGGCACAAGUCUAAGAUAUAAGAAGUUUAAAGAGCUUGCCUCAUAAAACUACAACUAUCCUUAUGUAUACUCUCCUAAAACCCACAUAUUCUGUUUGAUCCAGCUCUUUUCUUCAGGGCUUCUAAUGUUCAACUCCAUGACCUGAAAUAAUAAUUAUCUCAACAUACAACAGGUGUUAGGAGGUAGCAGAUUCCCCUAGUCCUUCCUAGGCUUCCGGAGUCUUCAGUAAGAAGUCUCCAAUGUUCUCCUUAGCAUCAGCACGUCUCCAACCAUUGUCUUAAACAUGAUUAGCAGAUAUAUUUACCUAGCAUCAUUUCUCAUAAAUUCUCAGAUUUGUGAGGACAUAAAUUAUCUGGUUUCAUGCUUCAUAUAUAGCAAGUAAUCAGCAUUGACUGAAGAGAUACAAAAGUUAACCAGACCCUAUGUAUUUCUUUAUAAUUUAUGCACACAAACUCAUUCUAAGCUUUUUACAAGUUUUUAUUUUACCCCUGUGACAGCUAUGAGCUAAACCUCUGGCAAGUUAAGAGAUCAUAGCCUAUAAAUGGUAGCAUGUGAACAUCAAGUUUUCCUCGCUCAUUCUUUCCUUCAGAGAAUUCAUACUGAGCAUAUUCUACAUGUCUGACAUUAUUCCUGAGCUAAGAAUCCAAAGAUAACUAGGUGAAGAUCUUCUGAAGCUCUCUGCUUACUCAGAGUAGACCAUGAACAGUAAUUAUAAUACAAAGCUGUCAACUCUUUGACAGAACAAUGAACAUGAUGCUACGAAGUUUCUAAAAAACAUUAAAUGACUGUGCGUAUUAAAUGGCUCCAUUUUAUUUUCAUACUCUUUUAAUACCUUUUUCUGUCUGAUUGUUUAGAAUAUAACCACUCUCAUUCAUUCAGAAAAAAGUAGGCAAAGACCAAUGCAAAUUAAUGAGUUUAAAUUUUGUAAUAUUGUUUCUAAUCUAGUUUGUUAUCAUUAUUAUUCAUAAUAUAGAUUAAUUGGGAUACCAAGUAAAGUGUAUAAAGAGCCUAAUCUACAAUAGUGUGUAACAGCUUGCUUAAAAUAUCAUUAUUACUGUCAUUUGUAGAAGUUUGAAAUACAAAGAAAUUUCUUAAUAGGGACUUUAUUAUAGGCACAUCAAAGGAAGAUGGCAGCAGGAACGAGGGUAGGAGUGGAGCAUGGUCUGAAAGUGGUUUAGUGUGAGUCAGGAAAUUGCAAGGCUGUUCUAGAAAGCAGCUGUGUGCCUGAGUUUUGAGUAGAUGUUCAUCUGCUGUUUAAAAAGUGUUUUAAGAAAAAUCGGCUGAUGAUGAAUAGAUUUAUUUUACUUGUCAUGGUUUUUCAGUUAUUCUUUAGGGAAAAGAAAAUAGCCAUAAAGCUCUGACAUUUAAUAAUGGCAAUUAAGAAUAUUUCACUGAGUGAAUAAAAAAUAAAUAAGUCCCAAUAUCAACAUGAGUAUUUGCAUUUCUCAAUAAUCACCAAGCUAUUUAAAGUGAGAGCCCUGAAAAGCUCAUGGAGAGUAAGCCAUGGACAUACCUGGUAAUAAUCUAUCUUCUUAAAAGAAGGGACCUUGCUUACUUUGUUUAUUUUUAAAAUUUUAUUAUUUUGCACUAUUUAUUUUAUUUUAAUUGGUACAUAUCACUUGUAUGUAUUUAUGAAGUGCAAUGUAUGUGUCUGUCUCUGUAUAGCUAUCUAGAGAGAGGUAAUCAACUUUGGUAAUUAGCAUGUUAGUCACCUUAAACAUCCAUCUUGUCUUUUAAGUUGAGUGAGUACAUUCAAAACCCUGUAUAGUACAUUAUUAACCACAUUCACUCUGCUGUGUCAUAGAACAAUAGAACUUAGCUUUCUAUUCAACUGUAGCAUUGUACCCGUGCCCAACCCCUUUCAACCACCCCUCUUCCUACUCUCUUCACUUCUUACAGCCACUAUACUGUUUUCAGCUUCCAGGAAGUCAUCUUUUUCAUACUCCACGUAUGAAUGAGAUCAUGUAGUGUAUGUCUUUCCAUGCAUGACUUAUUUUACUUAACUUAAGGUCCUUAUGGUACAACUGUGUUAUCGAAAAUGACAAUAUUUCAUUCUUUAAAGGGAGCUUUCCUUAGUAAAUAAUAGUUUUUCCUGCUAAGCACAGUGACUUCCGCAUAUCUGUCAGGCUUCAAUCAUUAGGAAAAGACACAUCCGAGACUUCAUUCUUUAGAUUAAAAGUAAGCAAGCCAGCCUUUGAAAAUAUUUAAGAUAAAUAGAGAUAAAACUGUUUUAAAAGUGCAGUUCAGAAAAUUAAAUGCAGCCAGUGUCACUGGUUAGCAGGUAGAGCCUUUCUCCUAGUGAAGCAACCAACUCAAUGAAAAUGGGUAGAGAAGCCUUGAAGGCUUCCAUCAGCCCUUCAGGCAGCUGAGGAAUGCACAUUCAAGGCAUUCCAGGCACACCUCCCUCUCCCCCGCUGGUGCUGGGAACUGCUCAGCCCAGUGGCUGUCCACCUUGGGGUGCACUGUGAAAAAAAUUACUUAUGGAAGACAAACAAAGAUGCUUUUCUUGAUUUGUCACAUUGUUUCACACUGAUUUUUUUCUCUGCUACUAGGCGAAAGUCAAAACUCAAUGAUGAAAAGGAAAAGAAUCUAAAGAGUUCUGAUAAAGAUGGAAGAAGAGGCAGUAGGAAUAGACACUGUGGCCCACACAGAAAAACUUCUGAGUUUACUAGAUAAUUUUUCCUUCUGGUCACUUGAUAAUUUUAGUUACAUUCCACCUGGCCAAUCCCAAUUGCCUACUCAGGUUUUUCCUUAAUAGUGCAGAAGGUGAUUUAACUAGGCAGACAAAAACUACCCCAACUGUGGCUUACAAAUGUAAAUGGAAUCAGUAGACAAAAAAUUUUGACUUUACAUAUGAUCCUAAACCAACCAUUUGUUGCAUAUAAUUCAAGUGCACACUUGAUAAUUAGCAGCAGUAAGUCUGAAAUUGGACUAAUUGCCCCAUGUCACUAUUAUUAAUCUGUAGGUCUCUACAGAGUCUUCAGUGACUGGAAUUUCACAUGUACAGAAGCAGCUUACUCCCAAAUCCUUUACUUUCUAUCAAGUUGUAACCUAUUUUAAAAUUUGAAAUGACUCCCAGGUAACUAAACUUUCUACUGUCAGAGGCAGAACAAUUGCAGUGAAGCGUAGGAAUAACCUGUAUUUAUUAAGUUGUCACUAAUUCAUGCUUUUAAAACAGUCCUUUUGGGGGCUGGGGAUUUAGCUCAGCAGGGUAAGUACCUGCCUUGCAAGCAGGUGGUCCUGAGUUCCAUCCCCCAUACAGAUAAAAAAUGAAAAAGACAAAACAAAACAAAACAAAACAAAACAAAACAAAAAAAAAAAACCCAGCCCUUUUGUUUUUGUACCUAUGCUAUGAAUAUUUAAAUAAAAUAUCGAAGACUUCAUCAGUGCCUAUUAUAUAAUUUUAUUUGAAGGUGCUAGUUUUUGAGUCCAAAUUUAGGCUUUCUAUUCCAAUUCAUUCUUCAUAUAAGAUACUAUUUAUAAGACAGAUUAAUAUUAUGGGACUAAAAACUAGAAGUAAGCUACUAAAUAGUUGUUUUUUAAAGCUAUUUUGCUAAUCAGCAAAUGGAUAUCCCUGGAUAUUAUCUAGGGGGGAAUGUUUUCCUAAUCCAAAAGCUACAUAUUGUUUUGUUUAUAUAUUUCGUGUAUUUCAAACUCUUGACAUUUGUGAUUUUGUUAUUCUCAGGAUAAAUAAAUUUACUAAAAUGUCUUGUCUUUAUUAAUCAUCUGCAGAAGAUAUAUUCAAAUACAGCGAAACUUCCAAAAAGAGUUGAUAUACUUCUGUCAAUCAUGGAAGAGCAUAAGAGAGCAAAAUGUGCAAAAUGCUGAUUAACAUUGUGGUAUUGAAACCAAGGUGCUUAUUAUUUUUUCUCCAACAUGCUACAAACAAGGCAGUACUGCUUCCUAGCAUUCACAAAGUCCUUUAUUCAUUUUUACCACAUUGUCUACCUUUCUGUAUUGGAAAGUACAGAAAUUGAGGAUUUUUAAAAAACAAACAGAAGAGAUAAAUAGAAAGACAAAUAGAAUUAUAAAUGUACUUAAUAAUUCUAAAUAUACAAAUUAAUCUUCAGAAUACUUGCUGCAAGUUCAAAAUUAAAAAGAAGAUACAAAGUUUUGAAUAGCAAUAAAUAUACUAAACUAAAACUAAAAAAUGCCUCAGAAAAGUAUAUAAAUAUUAACUGAAUUGGAUCCUUCACUGUCAGACUUGUCUAUGGUCCAAUAUUUUGCAGUCUAAACUCAUAAAAUAGGUAUUUGUCCCAGCAAAUAGAAAGCUUUGUCUUUAAUUUGAUUAUAAAUCCUACUUCUGCCUUAUGAGCCAGGUUCCUGACCUCACAAAUGUUGAGGAGUGCAGUUUUGGAUUAAAAGGAGGAAGGUAAGAGAGUUUUCUGGUUUUUUUUGGUGGCUUUUUUGGAAUAAAGAAGAAGUCCUGGAUUUCCAAGGGGUCUUGAAAGAUGGCCUCAUGACCUUUGAUCUGGAGCUACUGAUGAGUAAGAAGAGGAAAGAGCUGUUGUCUAGUGCCUGCCCGGCACAGGUAGCUGUGUGGAUUUAAAAUGAGGGCUGGAAUGCAGCAUCUCAAACUCGGUUCUUUAAUAUGAAGUGUUUAAAGAAAAAUUUAGAGGGAAAAAAACACAUUCUUUUUUAUUUUAGUUUCCUCAAACCUCAGGAACUUAGUAAGGAGGGACUGAAACUUACUUUUGGGAGGGAGAGGGUUAUGUCGCAUUCCAGGCUGCCUGAGAGGGUUCUUGGUUGGCCCAAAGUGCUGGUUCACUCUCUAUUCUUACUUUCCUUCUUAUCAAUUUGUCUGAUCACCCAGCCCCAUCUAUGGCCCUUCCCCAGGCUCGCAACCUUACUCAUAAAGUAAACUAUUUUGUACAUUACUUGAUCAUUGCUAUUUAUUCUUAAUCAAGUCACAUUUUUACUUAAACUGUUUAUAUAAAGAAUUCAGAUAAAUGCUUGUCUAGGAGUUUGUUUUCCUUUUCAGGGUCUUUUUGUCCUAGUUGCAUACUUUGAGCUUACUUUCAACUUCAUGAUACUGUUUUUUUCACUUGCCAGAAAGCAGGUUUGUUGAUUCUCUUUUUCAUAAGGAAAGCUUUAGAGAGUAAAUCAUAGUUUUUAAAUUUGAAAUAUAUCCAUCAUACCCAGUUCUGUUCUUUAAUAACUGACUAAUUUUUAAAAAUAACACUAUAUUUAAGAAAUGGGAAAUUAUGGACUUUAAGAGUCAAUUAAAACUUUAUAAAACUUAGCAGCUUUGAUUUUCUAUAAUUUAAACCAGAUUUUACAUACCCUAAAAAAAUAAAGCUUAACUUUGAAUUUAUGUAGUUAAUAAAAGGCCUUAUGCUUUUCAAUCUUUUCAACUCUUUAGAAUUUAAAGGAUUCGCUGGGACACUACCUAAACUGUAUUUGUUGUUCUCAUAUUCUCAGUGGCUAACAUCACCAAUGCAGUGUACAGAAACCACAGUCCCUUCCUUAAAAUGUUUAAGUACAGUGUCUUCAACAUUACAUACCAAAGUUUUUUCCUUGUAGGGAAACUUUUCCUUAUACAAUUACAUGGAUCUCUUGUCCUCAUAUCUGACUUAGAUGAAUUUCUCUGCUGAUUUUCUUGCCUACCUUGAUAAAGGAAGGCUUCAGGUAUUGUAUCACACAUAGAAAAAGCUCAGUUUUUUUGCAGUCUUUUCUUUGAAUUGUUGAACCAUGUGUGUACAUGCAAGGUAACAUUUUGUGAUAAAAUCUUUAUAUAUGAAAUCUGUAUUUCAAUAUUUUAAAGAGGCGUCUAAUCUAUUUGACAAUAUAUUGUCAACACCCAGCGUUUUAACACGUAGGCUCAAUUAAGUGCAUGAAUCCAGUAUAGUAUUGGAAGAAACGUAAUUAAAAGUGUUUAGAAAUUGUUUUGAAGAAUGCAUUGCUGCAAGGUGGCACAGCCGUGUAAACAUGACACCAUCAUCUUAUGGAAUGUACAAAAAAGGGGCAUCUCUUGUGCCAAAUAAACAUUCUUCAAUUAACGCUUCACAAUAUGUAGUGUGAACUUUUCUAGUCUGUGUUUAUCCAUCCUGAGGCUGCUACUUUUAAUGCCUCGAAAACUGUUGCCUGUGUAUAUUCUCCUGCUAAACCUCGAGGUAAAGAUCUGAUUACAGACCCAUCUUCCCCUGGAAUCUGGCUAAUAAGCUUAACUCAAACUAAAUGAAUAUGAGAAAGACACAAGAAGGAAUGUCUUGCAUUGAAAUAAAUUCUACUUUUAUGAAUAUAAAUGUUAGUGAGGGCUGCAACAAUAUACGGGCAUAAUACAUUGUGUUCAAAUAUGUAAUAUGUAUUUAUUUGGCCCAUAUAUGGAAAGUUUUCUCUUCACUAUCUAUUAAGUCAUAGUUAUUUCCUUUGAGUCAGUUAUUUUACUUUAUUCUGAGAUUUGAAUAGGCACUUUAAUGUGCUUUAUCUAUAGUCAGGAAAAUGAUCAGUUUUCAGGCUAAAAUACACUGUAUUAUCUUCUGUCUCUCUGUCUCUGUCUCUGUCUCUCUCUGUCUCUGUCUCUCUCUCUGUCUCUCUGUCUCUCUGUCUCUCUCUGUCUCUCUCUCUGUCUCUCUCUCUCUCUCUCUCUCUCUCUCUCUCUCUUAUUUUAAAGAGGGUAAGAUUAAACAGAACAAAACAGAUCAUACGGAAACAAUUUUAAGAAACAAGGAUUUCCAAGCAAGACCACUGGAGAUCUUCACUGUCUAUCAUAUUGUCUGUUGUUUUCUUCCAAAUAGUUGUCCACAUCUCCACACACAGUGAAUACAUACUGAACAUUAUAGUGCUAAACGAAUCAGAAAGGAUGAUGAAGGCUUUUUAGGCCUUCAAGACCAGGCAUUAGGGAAGUCAACAAUGGUUGCCGUAAUGUCUCUCGUUCUCUUCCAAGUAUAGCUGUCCAUAUCUUUACGUAUGCUAAAAUUAAACAUAAGAGACUAAACUAAUAUCACUCUGAACAGUGAAUAAUAGUAUUGCUAGGUUUUAUAUCAUAACGCUACAGAAUUAGCACUGGUUAUCUUAGUGUCUCUUCUUCUUCAGAGUAUCUAUUCAUUACAUCGUGCAUUAUAUAAACUGUUCCUGUAAAUUGUUUAGAAAUUCUACACAUGUGUGAAUCUCUACAUGUAUGCCUAUCCUUUCUGUAUUGAAUUAGCCUCUCUGUCCCCUGUGCUGGUGAAAAUAUACUGCUGUUUGAUAAACUGUUUUGUCCACACAAUUCCUUUUUUUUUUUUUUUUUGCCUUUUUGAGUCAGGAUCUCUCUAUGCAGUUGAGGCUGGCUGUGGGCUCACUUUGUAGGCUGGUCUUAAAAUUGCAAUGAUCUUCCUGCUUCAGCCUCUCAAAUGCUGGGAUUACAGAAGUGUGCCACCAUGCUCAGCUGUGUCCACAUAAUUCUUAACUGUUUUAAAAUAAUACAUGUUUAACAUUUAAUGAAGCCCUCUUAUUCAAAAACUAUAUAGUACAUUAAUAUUGAAUAGUUCUGACCAGCCAUAUUUAAAUAAUUAGCAUGUGUAAUUUUUUAAAAAUGUUCAACUACAAAUAACUAUAAUGGUUGUAUUCUUUACAUUGGUUACAUGUUCAUAUAUUCACAAGAAAAAUUAAAUGGUUAUCUUUGAAUUGGCUUAAAUGGUUUUGUCCUCCUUUCCAAGAAUAUUCAUACCCUUUGUAACAGCCCAAAUUCCUAUCACAUCACCAGUUUAUAGACCCCAAAUACCAGCUAAUUAUGUGGGUAGAAGGACAUUGUAAUCUACAUUUUAUAAAUGAAUCUAUUGUAUGUAUGCUUAGGACUUGAAUUUUCCUUCCUUUGCUCAUUUUAAUUCACUUAUUAGAAACUUAGAAUGUUGAUGAGAGAGUCUUCAAUUGUCAAUUUUGUUUAGUUCUACUGACACUAUUCUAAUUAAACACAAUUUCACCCCCUCUCUGCUUCUUUUUAUGUUGUGGUGUCUGAUACAGUUUCAUAACUGAAAGUAUAAAAAUGUGCUUGAUAGAUAAUAAAUUAAUUAGCUUACAUCAAACGAUGACUUGUACACUUUGGUUGAGUACACAGGUUGUACCUACACAGUCGGUGUGACCAGUGUGAUCCCUUUCCAACUCUGAGUGGCUUAUCUUCCUCUUGAUGAAUGUUUUACUAUUUUUAUCACUGGCAACAUUUCCUGUCUGUUCUUUAUUUUCACUGUGGAGAAGACAGACAGCCUAAUAGGAUUAACUCCAUCAUGUGUCCUUUCCACAGAUGCGUAUAUUGCCUAAGCCAUCCAUGAAUUAUUCCAUUCUUCAAUAAAUAUUUUAAUAACAAUAGGUUCUUUACUAAUAAUUUUUCUAAAGAUAAAUUAUUAUUGAUUUCACAUAAGACACAUAGUCAUAGUGUUCUUAUUGUGUAUAUUCUUAAUCUAUAAGUGAUGUUCUUUGAUAAUCAGACCUCAUGAUUUAAAAUUUUUCUUCCAUAACCAGAAACAUAGUGAUUGUGACCUAAACUUUCAACUUCUUACUAUUGUAAAACUCAGUUUUCUGCUUAGUUCUUUCUAAUUAAGAUUUUUGUCCUUUAGAGACCUUUUACAGUUUCUGUUGAGAAUUUAAAGGUUUCCUUUGCUUUAAAAAGUGUAAUGAAUUUUUCAUGCAUAAAGAGGAAGUAGUAGAGGUACAUCAUUAUUUUAAAACAAGGCUUACUACAUUGUUAAUUCCUGUAAUAAAUGUAAACAAUACAUAAUAACACAACACUUGCUUCAUAUCUGAACUUCAACUGAAGACAACUGUGUAAAUUAGUGACGUGUAAUUCAUAAAGUCUUCUGAAUACUUGCCGAAGUCUCAAAGAAAAAAGAAACAGUCACAAAUUACUGGGUCUGGUAUAUGAACCAUCUAGAUGUUGGAUCAAAGAUCAAUGAGAAUUAUGGGAACAGAAGUUAGAAGCAUAAGGAACAUAUGGAUAUGCGAGCUUACUCACCUGGUCAAAUGUGGUAGGAUUUCUGUUAUCUAUGACUACGUCAAGUAGCUGAGGAUGCAGACCAGAGGCAUGAUUUUCAUAUUAUUGCAGUAUACCUGCUCCAUGCAUGAAGGUAUCUCUUCAUCUAAAUCGAAGAGGCUGUGAGCUGCUGGAACAGAAGAGUUAAAGUGGUAAAAUACAUGUUUGAAAUGUGUGUGUAAAUUCUGAAGUUCUUAGGAAUACUAUCUUUUAAAAUUAUUAUUAUAUUCCACCGUUAUUUCUUCUCCAAAACAGACCAUCCUAUGAUAUUAUUUCACACCUCGAUAUUUUUAAAAAAUAAUAGCUAAUACUUUGUACUUAAUCUCUAAGAAAACUUAAAGGGUUUCUUUAAAUUACUAACUUCAGUUUUUGUUAAGGCAAAUCUUUACGAGUAAAGGAACACAAAAUUCUAAACAUAUUUGAGAUAUAUAAAAACUCUAGAGCACUUGUUUUGUAAAAUUUGUAGUUACAGCUUAACUAUUUAUCCUGAAAAUUAAAGAGGUCAGUUAUUACUUCUCUGUUGAGAAGUUCAUGUGAUGCUUUUCAGAUAAAAUUUUUGUGAAAAGAAUUUUGUCUAUAAAGACUGAAUGAGCAAGCGUGACUUUGUUUUGUUGCUGCUGUUUCUUUGUUAUUAUAAUCUAUAUUUCUAAUUAAUGCAAUACUCAGAAAAUUUGCCUUCUCUGUAAGAACUGCCUUACUGAAAUACUUUCAUUUCUAUACAAUAUCUAUUUGAUAUUGUCACAUAUGUCACUUAUCUAUUUGAAAUGCUUCUUUUAGUUACAAAAAGUCAUUUAGGAGCUGCCUAGAAUAUUGGUAAAAUCUUUCCAAAUACCCUGAAAGUUUCCUCAAAGGAGAUAAAAGGUAGUCAGAAAUAUAAAUAUCCUGUAAAUCCAUAUUACUUAUUGGGUAAAUUUUGAAUAAUGCAUGAAGCACAAAAGAAGGGUUAAGAAGUUCCUCAAUGUAUAGGGGCCUAUCAUCUCAUUUUACUGUUGUAAAGUUUGAUCCUGGUAUUUUGGUAAAUUGCAGUCAUAGUCAAGUUCCCUUAAAAAUGCCUAAAAUUAUUUGAGAAUAUGCAGAAAGGACCUGCCUUGAGGAAGAAAUCCCUCACUGAUACUACUUGCAGGACAGAAACACCACACGCCUGAAAGAAUUCAGCUAAAAGACAUAAACAUUCCACUUGCCCAACUUGUUCACUUACCUCUUUCCCGUUAGCUGAUGUGUUCCUUAGUGUCUAUGUAUAAAUGGUUAUUUAAAACAGGUUAUAAGGUCAUCUUUUCAAAGAACAAAAAUAUCUUUCUUAUUUCUCACUGGAUUUUUAAAAUCUAAAACUUUUUUGGAAAAUGUAUCUUAAGAUGGCAUUAUCAUAGUUUGAGAAUUUUAUUUAUCUGAUUUUUUUAACUCAAAAUAAAAGCACUCUCAGAUCUUGAAAAUUCUACUAGUUGUAUCUCAUUAGAAGCAAUGUUUGUUAAUCAAUAAAAGAAAUGCAGAUGGUAUCCUUUACUCUUUGGUCUGCCUCACGUCUUCAAAAAUCAACAUUUCUUUCACAGAGUUCAAAGUGUAUAAAACCAACUUUCAGGUUAUACAAAUGAAUUGACAUUCUUUCUCUUUGACAAAAUUUACUCUAAAAAUAACAGGCAAAAUAAUCUCAACUCAGUCUCUUACAUGGAAAUAUUAUUUUUAUUUUCAUUGUCUCUAAAGUUACAAAAGUGACAUUCCAUUUGAUUUUUAUUUGUUUAUUUAGGUUCUGGCAAUUGAACUCACAACCUUGCACUUGCCAGGCAAGCACUGAUGCCACUGAGCUAUAUCCCCAACCCUGGACAUUCCAUUUUAAUGUACCUUAAUGCUUUUCAACUGAGGAAACUGAAAAAUUGCAUUGCUCAUGUCCUUUCUGUACUUGGACAAAGUGAACAUAAGAAUGACAAAAUUGGGGCUGGGGAUUUAGCUCAGCGGCAUAAGCGCCUGCCUUGCAAGCAGGCAGUCGUGAGUUUGAUCCCUGGUACCGAAAAAGACAAAAAAAAAAAAAAAAAAAAAAAAAAAAAAGAAUGACAAAAUUAGAGCUCAGAGUUUCUAAGUUUCAGUGAUUUCUAUUAUCUGCUUCUUUUCUACAUUAAAUUCUCAAUUUAGACCUCUGAAAAACAUGUUUUAUGAUAUAGUUGUUUCUUUCCUAAAUUUGAAAUGCUUUUUUUCAAAGAGCUAAAAACCUGUUAAAAAUGUGAAUGUCAUAGAAAUGCUAAUAGAAGCCUACAGAUUGAUAAAUUUUACUUCAGCAAAACCCACUUAUAGUGUAAACUUUGAUGUUCUACCCAUUGACCUUUAUCCUCUGGAUUAGCUGUAAGAAUGAAUUGCUAAAUAUUCACUUUUUCAGGUGAAUUAAGAUGACCUCAUGGGAAAAAAUGGAAUAUUUUUUGGUGUGUCCUUUAUUGAUGUAUCAUUAUCUAGUGUUUUCAGUCAGAGAUCUCCUAGAUAAAGAAAGACUAAAGUUCCACUGAAUUUUCAAAUGUACACAGUGUAGUAGAUCAGAAAUAGACAAAAAAAAUGAGUAAUGAAUCAAUGGAAUGAAACUAAAAAGUAAAAACCUGAAUAAUAAAAUCAAAUUAGAUAUUACGGUUCUAUCUCUGAUGCAUUGUAAAAUUCACAUAAAAAUGGAAAAGUCUCUAGGCCAACAAUAAUUUAAUAGAGCCAGAGAUAUCUGACUACUUUAAAUCAUUAUAAUCUUCCCUCUUCAGUAAUGGAUACAAUGGCAGAAUAAUAUUCAUGAAAAUAAGUAGUCAAUUUAAUGUUUAAAUAAUAGCUAAAAUAUGGAAAUCCCAGAGAUGUUCAACAAUGGGAAAUGGCUAAACAAAUUAUGGUUCUCCCCCAAGAUGCAAAUUCAUGCAGCUACCUCAAAUAUUCGUCAGACAAAUGGUAGCAUACAAUAAAGAAUUUGGGGGAACAGUCACACUUGUAUGCCAGUCCUCUGUCCUUCCAAAGUUUUUCAAGCACAAUUGGACUUCUGGAAUCUCUUAGCCCUCUUACAGGUUCUGUGUGGAUCCUCCAUGAAGGGAGACAGACUGUGUGUGCUGUCUCAUAGUUAGGGGCAAGUGCAGGAGAAUUCUCUUAGGAAGGUAAAUUUAUUUUGAAAUGUAACCUGACAAAACAGAUUUAAAAAAUGAACUUUGAAAUUAUCUAGGCCACAGUUAAAGGUAUCACUUGGACCACAUUACUAACUUCCUUGAAGGUCAGAUUUGUCAGUAAUUUCCAAAUAAUUAUACUGCUUACCCAACAGGAUUCUUGUGAUGUAAAAAUGGCACUGUAUAUACUAACAGUGAGCUAUACUGGGGAAAAGUAUUAACUAAAUGGUAAUUGUUAAGUAUUAACUAAAUGGUAAGUGUUCUUGUGAAUCAUAACACUACUCUAAAAUGGUCAUUCAAAAAAUAUUCCAGUUGUUAAUUUUAGUCCAAACUAUCAUUUUCCACUGCCACACUAAACACCCUGUAUAACUGAGUCCCACAUCAAUGCUUGGUCAUUAUUGGUAGUAGCAAUCCUUGCAAAGAACAUCCUUUUUCUAACUUUAGUCUGGUCAUUUUCCACAGUGCAAAUCCCCACUUUGGAGACUCUUCCUACUCAGCCUGAAAACUAGGUGUCUCUUUUCUCUCCUCUAGUUUCCAGUUGAAGAGUUUUCAUAUCAUUCAAACCUCUAUUCAAGUGAAGGUCUUGCCAUAAGCCUUUCAUAAAGCACUCAGCAUGUGUUGGAUUUUUCCCAUGUUCUCAUAGCAUUUAGUAUUUCAUAGAAUUCUCACUUACACUUUCCUUGAAUCCAUAAUUUUAUCUUGUGUGACUCAUUACAUAUUAAACUUGUCCAGGACAGAGGUCAUUUAUACCAUCAUUUUAGUAAUUUUUUAACAACCUGACCUCUUAUACACAGUGAAUCCAUUUAAAAUAUAUGUCGUGUUAAAUUCAAAAAUGAUUAAAAGCUCUAGAUAUAACCUCACAACUCUGACAGGUCUGAGACAUUUGAAGGGCUCAACAGUGAUUUUUCUAAUUUUUACCUUUUGGAUUUUAAUUUACAUGAGAUUAAUUUUUAAAACAAUUUAAUUUUUAAAACACAAGUAGAUUCAUUGAAAAUCUCUUUAUUCCCAUUUUUAAUUAAUUGUUUUGAUAGAAGACUUACAGGUAUAACUGUAUAAUUUUCUACUAGCUCGUAUACAGAGUCUAGUAUAUAAUUUACAAGUUUUAUCUAUACAUUUCUAUAAUAUUUUAGGAAGCUUUUGCUGCUUUAAGAGAAGAAAAGAUAAACACAUUGAUUGACAUAGCAUGUUUGGAAGGUUUUUAUAUCCUCUGGAAAGAAAGUAGACUCAAGAGAUUUCAGACGUAUUUCAUUACUCUUUCUAUCUUUGGAAAGGAAGACAUUUUGGUUCUUCAAAACUGAUUAGCUACAAGAGUUGCUAGAUUUAGGAAAGGAAGAGGUCCAAAUUUGGUCAUAAUGUAACUUUUAUCUGAUCUUGGAAGUUUUUAAUUUUAGCUUAAUUGAAAUAAUUUUUAAUACCAUGGCUUAUAACUUCACAAGUUGGUGUCUAAAAUCUAAUAUCAAAAAAGCUUCUUGUGUAGAUUCCUGAUUUCUUCAUAACUUUAAAAUAUACAGUCACUUUCCUGCAGGAACAUUAUCAGUGACUGAGAAGACCAUAUACUGUACAGUUUUAUAGUUUAAGUGUAUACAUACAAUUGUUCCAAAAGGAAUUUCUAUCCAAAUUAAUGGUCUUUAUUCCUUGACUAAAUUCUGCUCCAAAGAAGUCUAAAAAUGAAUAAUAGUAUCCACAAUUCAACACUCAAAAUGUCUAACUAUAGUCUUAAUGUUUUAAAUAUCCUAUUUUCUUUGACUUCAUAUUUCGUAUUGAAUGACUGUCACCAACAAGCAUCUUAACAGAGGAGUGAUUUGAUUUACCAGAAUAUGGCAAAGAAAACCUACACAGUUUUAAAACUAUCAAGGUCAAAAGACUUCUAAUAAGUCUCUAUCCCUGCUCAUAAAAUAGUGAACUUAAACAUUUUUUUUUUUUUUACCGGUACCAGGGAUCGAGCUCAAGACCACCUGCUCACAAGGCAGGUGUUUAUGCCACUGAGCUAAAUCCCCAGCCCCUGUGAACUUAAAAUUUAAUGAAAAAGCCUGUAGUAUUAUGUGAGUAACAUAAGUUCCAGUUCUUUUAUCCAAAAAAAAUGUUGUGUUACCUUUUUUUAAGUAGAAAAAAGACAAAUUUAUUUAUGAGUAAUCUUACCUUGAAUACAUAGUUUGAUUUAGAAGAGUUGGAUAAUAAUAUGUGGUAAAAUUUUUGUUUUGUUUUACACUAUGUUGCUUCUCCAACACCACAUUCCAGUAUUUUUCUUUUGUUCAUUAUUAUACAACAAACCUGGUCAUUUCAAACUUCACUGGACACAUAUAUUUUAUUGCUAUUUUACUUUGUCCAGAUUGCAAACCAAUUUUAAGUAUGUACAAUUCUAUUACAUCAGAAGCUAUGCACCACUAUAAGCAAAAUAAGAUGUAAAAAAAGAAUGUAAAUAAAUGCUAACUUAAUUAUUAUUCAACAAUUGUUAACAUUAAAAGCAUUUACUAAAUAACAAUCAAAACAGUUAUUUAGACUAUUUAAUGAUGUUACUUUCAAACAUAUUUUUCAAUUUUACAUUUUUCUAAUACCUAGCCCCAAGAAAUUACAAAAGCUCAUAUAUAAUAUGACUAAUAAAAGACUUGGAAUAUUAAUCAAAUCUAAUAUUUCUCUAGUGUUAGUUUAUGUUAAUAUAAUAAUUAAAGUAAAAUGUCCUAACACAUAGACAUGGAAUACUUUCUAAGUGUAGACCAUUUUCUUUAGCCUAUCAGUGGUGAAACAUAGUUAUAAUUUGUAGAAAAAUAAAAGUUGGCACACAUUUUUAAUGUUGAUUAAACUUUUGAAGAUUGCACUAUGGCAAUUUUCUAUAAAGUAUUCAUAAUUUGUGUUCUAUGGAUUACAUAUUACAAGCUUAUUUUAUGACUCAAAAAUAAACUUGAUAAUACUAGGUUUAAAUUAAUUACUAGCUUUGACAAUUUGUUUGCUGGGCAUAUUACAUGAUAUCAUUAAUUGGGAAAAUACAUAAGACAUUGUUUUCUUAUAAGAAUCACCCAACCUUUUACUUUCUGUCAGCUGAAAUCAUCAUAGAAAGUCAUUUUUUGUUUUAAUUUUCCAUGAAUAAGUAUUUGUGGAAUAGGCUCUCUCUGUUUUUUUUAAUUGUACCACAUAAAAAUUCUUGAAUAAUUUUUUUACAAAUAUAUUCAUUUAUACAAAUGUGUAUAUAUAUGUAAAUAUAUCAUACUACAGAUGUUUUAUCAAAAUAUGUAUUUGACUGAACAUAUGGACAUCUGAAGAUCAUUAGAUUGUGGAAUACAUGUAAGUGAAAAUAAAACUUUAAUAAGUAACAUUGAAAAUUCAACCUGUGAACUUAGUUAUAAAUGAUAAUACUGCAGAAGGGAAUAGUAUGUGGGUAUUGUAUAAUUUUAGCUCCAUUUGAAAACAAUGACACAUUUAUCUGAUUGCUUGAUUUUAAAGUGACAUACUCAUAAAAUAUAAGUUGUAUCCAUUCACAAAUUGUGCAAUAGUACUCUUUUCUCUACCUAUCAAAAUAUUAGCUAGGUGAUUUUUCUCUGGUUUGCUUAUUGAUAUACUAAAAAAUAGAAUUUAAAAAAAUAUUGUUUAUCUCCAAACUGAUGAAAUUUUGAGGAGUGAAUGGGUUAUGGGAGUUAACAUUUUGGAAGUAAUAGCAGAAGUACACGUGAAGUGAACUUUUUAUAUUUUUGCUAAAAUAACCAUCAUGCUACAGAUGCUCAAAAAAAAUUCAUGUAUUGUCCUCUAGGUAACGAUGUGCAGUUAAUGAUCAGUGGUGAACACAAAUGUAGAUCUUCUACCUUUUGACUAAGUAUAGUUUUCCAUUAUCCUCAUAUCCCUAAAGAUAAUCCUCACCACAUUGAGAACUUCAUUAUUUAUCAAAUAACAUUUCUCUAACUUUUUUAGACCAUAGUUCAGCAACACAUACACACAGUGAGAGACACAUGAAAAUCCAGCAAAUGUUUAACAAGUGAAUGAACUUUGACACCUCUAAGUGGAUUUAAUUCCUACUGAGCAAGUGUUACUGUGUGGUACAGUACUUUCUCACUAUGCAUUGCUUUUCAGUCACAGAUCUAGUUCUGAUUGUGUAAUAGAAGUGGUCACACAUUUGAAUAGGAUGGUUAAAUAAUGGCUGUAAUUUACUUCCUUAUACAUUGAUUUAACUACAAAAAAGAAAAAUAUAGAAUUACAAUUUGUUCAUAUAUUUUUAAAUACAAUAAAAACAUGCUUAAGAAGUUUCCCAGAAGUAUUUACUUUUUCAACAUGAUUUUUUUCUUUUUCUUUUUUUCCUUUUGGGGCUUGAAUUCAGGACCUACCUGAUGUGUAUUAGGCAGGUAUGCUAUUUCUCAGUUACAUCCCUAGACCCCAAGAUGCAAAUUUCCUUGAUAGUGUUUAUGGAAGAAAAGGCACAUUUAUUUGAAUCAAAAUAACAUUCAUAAACUAACCAGCGAGGAUAUAUUCUCUUCUCUGGGAAUGAAUUUGCUUUAAUUUUAUACAAGUUUUAUGGCAUGCUCUUUAUGUAAGAUAGAACUUGACAGAAAGACUACCUUAGUCAUAUGUCCUGUGUGCAGUGUGCAGUUAGAUGCUUGUAAAGUAGAGUAAAAGUCAUUUCGAGCUUUGACUUUCUCUUCUUGUGCCUGAAUAACCUCCCUGAAACCUCCCUGAAAGGCUACAUGUGGAACAUUUCUGCUGUGCAUUUGUGUUACCCAAGACUCCAGCUCCUUGAGGGAUUUGCCUCCUUAGUUUAAUGGAGGUAUUCCAGUGGUAGUUUCUUGCAGAGAAUAUUUCUCAUUCAUUUUAUACAAACAGAGGAUUAUAUUCAGUAAACAUCAUUAAAUCUGAGAAAUGAAUAGGUACAUUUCUAGUACCAUACCUGGUUUUGUUACAGGUUCUUAAGGCUGUUGUUUCUGCAUGUAAUGUAGCACUGUAAUAUAACUGUCUUUAAAUAGCAACAACAACUGGCAAAAAGUCUGGAAGAAACCUAAGCAAGCUGUUUGAAAAAAUGGGCGUAUAAAUGCUUAAUUCAAUUAGUGACUCAUAAGGACUAUAUCAACCAGGAUGGAAUAGCCUUUAUAAGCAUUAAUUUCAUGACAUGAACAGUUUGUAGAAGUGAAUGUAGAGAUUGUAGAUCCUCAGGCAAAUCCUCACUGUGGGUUGAAUUUAUUUAAAGAGCUUUUCUGGUCACCUUUGAACCUCAAUGAUUUCUCCAGAUGUACAGAAGUGAACAAUGUAAAAAUCUUGCUGUUUCAGCAGAACUGAUUCCAGCUGGCUGGAACGGGAUCUGCAAGUCAUUGGUUACAGCUGUGUUUCGAUUUAUGUGAUGGUUGAAAAAAUAAAUUACCCGAUUAGAUGGCUAGAAAGAGGACUCUUUGUUUAGCCCUUGUGUGGGGACAGAAACUGUUUAUGGUGCUGUUUUCUACACAGUCUUUGCAAAGUAAGCUGGACAAAUAGACUUAUUCAAGGCUUCUAAGAAAUGUUGCAUAUUCAGCUUUAAUUCUUUACUAAAGAAACUAUUUUUUUAAAAAAUGCUGUCAUGCACCAACUGUUUUGAAGGUCUAACAUGUAAGAGAAGCAGUACGUUUUCUGUCCCACUGAACACUACAUCGACUAAUUCAAGAGCAGUUUUCUUUUGUUUAAUGUGUCCUUUAAAACACGUCUUUGUCAAGCACAGGAAUGAGAAUAUGUUUGGUCUAAAAUUCAAACUUUAUAAGAGCAAACUAUCUGGGCAUAAAUUCUACCUUAACUUUUUUCCUUAAUGGAUUAUGGCUCAUGUCCUGUAAGAGAAAUCAAUUCAUGUAAGACUUAAUUAUGAUCAAGCAUUACUGUAAAAAAAGUGUCAUACUUUUAGUCACUUAUGAUAUGGGUAUAUUGAAUUUGUGAAUAUUGUGAGGAUUUUUUUAAUCUAUGUAAAUUUUAUAGAGUGUAGAAGAGUUUGAAAACAUAUGUAACUUUUCAAGUUCACCAAAGUCAGAGUAUCAAUAACUCUUGUAAGCUUUACAUAGCAUCUUCCCAAGGAGACUACUUGAUUAUUGUAAUGCUGAAUUAGGGUGUUUUGCUUGCUUGUCUGUUUUUCUUAUUUUUCUAAUAUAGCCUCUGUCAGGUCACCCAGUUUAGGUUACAAACCUAUCAGAACCAGUGGAUUAUUCACAAUUUAGCCAUUUCCAUGGAGAUGUUACAAAAAUGACCCUCUAAACGAUUUUAAUUUUCUGAAAAUACUUCAUUUUUUAACAAAAAAUGCUUAGUAAAAUUCUAUAAAAGGAAAAGCUUCUUUAGUAAACUUGAGAAUGAUGUCAGACCCUUGACCAUGUGUCAUACUUUCCACUAAAUCAGUACACCUCAAUGUGGGGAAUACUUUAAUGCAUGUCAUAUUUCCCAAGAAAAUAGACUAUUAUUUAUCUAUUUCCAUUUUUCUAAUGCAAUAUGUGCACAUUAUAUAAUUUAGUGAUGCAGAAUAAAUAAUAAUAAUGCAUCCAAAAGAAUACAAAGGUAGGAUUGAUCUGUCUUGAAUUGGCAGACAGCUUUGCUGCGUCAGGCUAUUUCCUUGAUCACUUGAAGUACACCCUCUAAUCCUUAACAAAAUCAAUAUAAUUGAUUGGAAGAGACAGGAGCAAAGCAUGAGAAUGCAGGAUACACUUGAAUCCUCACUGAACAGAAAUAUUUAUAUAAUGGUUUUGAUGCUUAGAAGCAUUUUCUGUGAUCCUCACAGAAUUGCAGUUUGUUAAACACAUUGGAAACUUGAGCAGUUCAGUUUGAAACUACAGUACUGUAUGCUAUUGUGUCAUUCUUCAUGAAAUAAUCUGUUUUCUAAAAAUUAAACUCCUCUCACAGUGUUGUAUUCCUAAAAGUGUAAAGUAAGAGUUUCUAUGACAAGCAGAGAGAAAGCAAACUAAAAUUCAAACUUGUAAAGAACAUGCAUGAAUUAUAUUAAUAAUGAAAAAUCAAGGAAAAAUAACACAUCAUGAAGAGACAACAUUUUUAAAUUUAAAACACUUUACUCUGUCUUUGGUGCUUUAUUCCUGUCUGGCAUGAUCAAUAGAUAGAUAAAAUCAUUUGUAUAUAGUAAAAGUUCCACAAAAUUAAUAUAUUUUUUCAUAAUGAAGAAAAUUCUAAAACUCUAGUUUAACACAGAUGCUGUGCAAUCAGAAUAAUUUACAUUUCAAGUAAGUAGUAUUUUAAACUGAGUGUUUUGAAAAGGAAAAAAUUGAAAACAUUUUAUUUGAUGAAGAUAUUUUAAGCUGUGAUUCACCUGAUUUCCUGAUUUCUUUUUUAUUUUUGGUAUCCCUAAAAGUCAUUUCAGGAGGCUUUAUGAAAUGCCUAUCAUGACAUUUAAAAAUGAAUUAUUAAAGUUAAAAUAUAUCUAAUUUAUCAAUAAAUUCUGUGUUUUUAACCCACACAGGCAGUUACCCAAAGAAACACUGAGUGCAUAUAUUGUAUUAGUGUGCACACUUUUAAAAAAAAUCUUAGAAAAUUACUGCAGCCCUUGUUGUAAAAUAAAACAUUUUAUAUAUUAUUUUAAAUAAAUUAAAUUUUCAAUACAAUAGGCUAAUCCAUAUAAAAGAUCUAAUAUAAAAUUUUGGCACUGCCAUAUUUUGCAACUAAUAUGAGAUAACACAUUUUUGAUACUCCUUUAUUAGACCAACUAUCAGACAGACGUCAGAAGAGUACUUAUCAGUCCUUGCAGACAUAAAUGCUACUAUAAAAUAUUGUGAAAAUUAAAUAAGACAAUUAGAUAACCAUAUAUCUAAAUAAUAGUAGUCACCAACACCUGUUUUACUCGCCUUGUGCAGAAUUUGAAGGCUAAAUUACCUUUCAUAACCUAGUCUUGUCUCCUGACUUUAAAGUUAAAAGGACUAAAGUUCUAAAAUUUAAAUGAUUUACCCAAGAUUGCAAACAUUAUUAAUUGUACAGCUGGCACUACAACUGCUUUUCUAGAAUCUUAGGUUAGUUUCCACCUGUUUCAAGGUGUUGUAUAUUCUACUACCGUACUUCUAGUGUACAGAGAAUUGUACUUUUUGAGAGUUGGUUUGUUAAAACAUUAAUUGUUGUAGCUCUUGUGCUAAAAAGUUCCAACUAUAAAUACAACGGAAACUCUGAAGCCAUUUAAUAUUAUUUAAUUCCUGGCCACUUAUGUCCCAUUUAAAAAACCCAGGAUUCUGUCCUCUCUCAACUAUUAUCCUGUCAACACAGCAGGAAUAAUCAUUCAUUGUUUCUAUGCAUAAUCCUAUAAACUAUUACAAAUGCUCCGACAUUUCAAUAUAAUUUGAUAUGCCAUAAUUUUAAUAUGCCAUAUUCCAUCUCGUUAUCCUACUCUGUUUACUCCCUGAAAGAGAAAUAUCCCUCCCAUCCUUAAGAGCUGUUUGUUUCUGUAAGUGGCUGUACUGCAAACUGCACAUCACUUUCCCUUCAAGGCCAGCCUCAAAUUCAUGUUCUUGCUAUGAUUUCCUGUUUUAGACCUGCUUGCCUCCUAACCCAUUUCUGUGGUGUGGUUUUGAAUGUGGUCCCCUUGUGGAUACUGAUGACAGGUGGGGUUGGAAAGUGGAUAGAACACUUCCGGGAGCACAGAAAGGGGAAGGGAAGGGAAAAAGGGAAAAGGGCGAGGAGGGCUGAAGAAAAAGGCUUGCUACAGCAAGUUACAGGAGCUCAUUUUGCAUUACUAAAUAUAUGAAAGCACAUUUGAUUAAAUACGAGAUUAUUCCUUGAAGGCAGAGAAAUCUCUGCAAGUGCUUUUCUAUGUUAGCUGUGUUUCUUUGCAUUCAUAUAUCAAAGCAGGCAGGAAAAAAAUAAUUUUCAGUUUGACAAGCCUUCAGUCAUAAAGUGAGCUAAAUACUGCGUCAUCCUGGAGCCUAAUAAUAAUAUAAUUCUAAAGGAAACAGUAGGUCAGGUUUUUCCUCCAUUGUUUAAAAACUGACUGUAUUCUUCAUACAUCUUAAAAGUAAUAACUCACGUACUGUGUUUUACUUUAACUUUGCUCAAAAUAAUUAGUUCUGGAACUUGGUUUGUAACUCAAUAUUAUCUUAAUGAAGGUGUACAUACACAUACACAUACACCUUCAGUUUAUUAUAUUUUCCUCUUAGUAUUUUACAUCAUAGAAAAUUUCCAAGUAGAUCAUCUCAGUUCAUUGGUAUCUGAUUAUUUUAAUUAAUUUUUCCUUUCCCUUAAAAAACAAAAAUGCUUGUGCUUGUUUCUCCUUCUUACUGUUUUUAAUUUCUUAUAUGCGUGGGAUUUGUUUAAAAGACUACUUCUCUGGAUAUUUUGCUGAUGAAACUAUGACUACAUCUCUGCUUUAUGUUUACAGUAGUAGGUAAUAUGUGUUGUUUGGCACUAGAAAGAGCAUGGCUUUUAUUUCUGGAAAGGUUAGACAAAUAUCUUAGAUGUAUUUGGAGACUUUCACCUGAGCAAUUUUGAUUCUUAUUUUUUAAAAAUCAAUUAUUUGAAAGUUAAAUUCUGGGACCUGGGGAUUUAGCUCAGCGGCAUAAGCGCCUGCCUUGCAAGCAGGCAGUCGUGAGUUCGAUCCUCAGUACCGAUAAAAAGACAAAAAAAAAAAAAAAAAAAAAAGUUAAAUUCUGUAUAAACCUUCCCUUUUAAAGCUUAUAGUAAAAGAAAACACUAGAUGCUUUUCAGCCAAAAAUGAAACAAAACAAAAAAUCCUCUAUUUUAUCCCUUCAAAUAAAUCAUUUUACAUUAAAAGAGACUGGAAGAAAGUAUUGGGAUCACAUGAUCAGUUAUGCUAUAAAACUUUUCACAAGGGCAGUUUAAGUAUCAGACAACUUUCUGCAAGGUUGGACAUGUUUUAUAUCCAAAUUAUCCAAAAUGGUAGUCACCAGUCGUAUAUGCUCCUAUACAUUUGAUCUAUGACCAGGGAGUGUAGGAAAUUAUUUUAACUUUCAUUUUAAUUGUUGAAAUAGCUGACUGAAGAUCACUGAAGAGUGCAAGUGAAGUAAAAGAGAUAUUAUUCAAGUUAUAAUAUAUCCUAUGUUUGCAUGAAUCUUGAGUCAAAAUUUGAACUGCAGAUUAUUACUUGUCCUCCAGUCUCCUUGUUCUAAGCUUCCUCUAUUAAUUUAUAUUGGAUACCCAUAAUCACAUUGAUUUCAAGAGGCUAUGUAAGAACAAAAAGUUCUUCCCUGGAAAUAAAAAGUAAGCAGGUUUUAUUAAAGUGUUUUGGAGCAGUCAUUGCUUCCUUUCAACUUCAUAUGUCAUUUACAUUCAGAUCUAUCUGAAUUAUUUUUAAAAAGUUAACCUAACAAAUCUCAGACAAAAGUAGUAGAUCUAGCAAGGCUAUACAUAUAUUGUAUUAUUUACAUUAAUGUCACCUAGAGUCAAUAUUUUACUUUGCAAAAAUUUCCACGAUAGUCAAAGUAUAAACUCUUUUAGGGAUGCAUUCGUGUUAAUGAUUAGCAGUAGAGAAUCAGAGAAAAUCUUAAACUUAGGUCUUCAGAAGUGAUAAUUGAACUGAUUGAUCAUAACAUUUCUUUUUCAAAUAAACACUGAUUUGGUCAAUUCUGUCUUCCUAUUGGUCCUAACCGAGGUCCUGACAGAAACCUUGGUACUUGGGAUUGGCUAAUUCCUGUCUGGAUAUAAAUGUUUUGCAUGGAUGGAUAUUUUGUUGUAACCAUUAUUUUUCUUUAAACUUACUUUCAGUUAUUGUUUUUAUGUUUUCUAAGGACCUAAGCUAUGUGUGCUUCAAUACAGCUCUAGGUACUAGAAAGAAAUAUCAUUAAUUGGGGGGAAAAAGAGUCUGUUGCCCUGAUUCUCAGAUUUGGGAGUGCAGUGUGCACAGUUGACAAAGCUGAGCUAUCAAUAGGCAGUUGCUGUAAAUUCAUGUUUAAUUAUUAAAAUAGUCAACAUUUUAUGUCUGAUAGUCAUAGAAGGUCAUAACAUUAAUUUAACCAGACUAUUGCGGGCAACUUUCUAGAAGAAAAUAGAAUAAAAGUUACAGAUGCAGAAGAGUUAAAAAAUAAAAUGAAAUAAAAGAUGAAUCUCGCAGCAAGAGAUUAAGGGAUGAUUGAUAUAACACACACAGGACAGAAAGAAUUCAGGGGGCAUCUCACUGUUACUGACAAUGAAUGUUUUAUGCUAUGCUGUGCAUGUAUUAAUUUUUGUUUCCGUUUUUUGUUAACCUCUAAAGUUAAAUAUUCUUUAUCUUCACUUUCUGAAAUCAGGUUUCAUAUGUAUUUAAUUAAGUGUGUAAUGAUUCUUUUUUACUGUGUGUUCCUUUCUUCCUUUUUUCAUUCUGCCUCUUCCUUUUUGCAUUUCCGUGUUUCUUUUCUUCCAUCCUCACUUAUUCUUUUCCAUCCAGCCUUUCUCUUUCUCAUGAGAUAUGUAUAUGCACUUAACUCCAUGUUUUCUUCCGGUGCUCAUUCUUCUUCUGUUUUUCUUUUGCUUUUUGAGCUUGAGGUGUUUUGGUCCCAUUUCUUUUUUCUUUUUCUUCAAAUCAGAAGCCUGUGAGAGUUGAUUUUAGAUCUACAUAUUUUACUACAGAUGCUCCUUUCUCUAUGACUUGUGUGCUACUUUCUUUAAAACCCCUGCAAAUGAUUACCUUUCCCAUUAGUUGCCACAGAUCUAUUGCCAGACUGCUACCUUAGAUGGUCCUGCAGUGACGCACUGCAUGCUGGGACCUGUCUGGGAGCAGUAAGCUGAAAUAUCUACAGCACCAGACAGCAUUAGAGUUGGCUUCAGGAUUGCGUACUUUGCUUUCCUUUGUAUGUAUUUCUUGUAUGCUGCAGGGUCACUGGUGGCUAGUUCUGUCUGGCAAGUAAUUCACAAAUACUGCUCACGUGCAAAGGAAAAGUAGACAAUAUUCCAUAUUCUGUCAUUAUAGAGAGCAAAAGAGGAACAAAGAAACGGGUAAAUAUCUGCAUACAGCCUCAUGUGUUGUGAAACUAACACAAACAGAGCUGCAUUCAGCCAAAUAUUUCACUUGUUUGUAAUAAUGCAUUUAGCACAGAGUUUUUCUAUAUAUGUAACCUAUAUUUUAGACAUAUAUAUUCAAUCAACAUUUAUAGCUUGUAAAUGUCUUGAUCUCAGAGACUUUUGCAUUUCAUUUGCUAUUUUUUAAAGACCUUAAAAAUUAAAAUAUACUAAUAUCCUGCUAGUUGGUUUCAUUCCAACAACCUAGUAUUUCAACACAGUUUAAAUCAUAUUGAUGAUUCAUAUCUUGGCCCAUCUUAUAAUUCUUGUGACAUGACAACACAGCUAAUAAAAAUAUGAAGCAAUUACUUUAGUUAAAAUCAUAGCUUUAUUAGUAGUAGUAGAAAUGAUUAAUCCAUACAGAUCAGCCUCACUGGUGUCUCUUGGGCUGUCUGCAGGCUUCCUAUAGAAAUGUAAAGAUUCAUUUGCUCUUUCUUCUGCCAAGGGAGGAAAAAAAAAAAAAAAUGAAGGCGUAGAAUAAAGUCUAGGGCUUAAAGAAUUGUUGGCAUUAUUUCUCUGUCUAUCACGUGUGAGUCUGGCUGCUUGCUUCCUCGGGUAGGGUAUCCAGAACCAGACUGUGUCCGAGCCUGUUUUCACAACUGCAUUUGGAGAUCUGUCUUAUUGAUUAGCAGGGGGAAGGGGUGGGGAGAGGAGUGCGAGGGGAGGGGAGGACCGACUGAGGACGGGCUCACUGAAGCACGGGACAUUUUCUUCUGGAAAGAUGUCAAACAACUGAGAAACAGCCACAGAGGAAGUAGAAAAGUGGGAAAAUGAGACCCGGGAAGAAAGGAAGGCGUUUCUUACAAAAGUCUUGAGGCUAUGUUUGUUUUGUGUUUUUUGUGGGUUUUUUUUUUUUUCCUUUUCUCUCCUUAUCCUUUUUUUUUUUUUUUUUUUUUUUUUUUUUUUUUUUUUUUUUCCCCAUCAUCUGACCUGCAAAGGCUAGAGGGGCAGCGUCAUGCAAACGCUGCUGCAGUCCAGCAGGUCUGGGAGAGGGUGGAUGCUAGACUGUGAGUUAAUGUUAAUGAUGAGUGCGGUGAAAAUACCAGCCGCUGCCACCCCCUGCACACAGAAGCGCUCUGAGUCAGCAUCAGAUGCUCUGCCUCGCCUCUGCCGAGUGUCUGGUGCCUGUGUGCGCGCGCGUGCUCGCUAGCAUCCGUGUCUAGCCGAGGGGAGGGGUGGCGUGUGAGUGCGUGGAGGGUAAAAGCCAGUCAGUCAGUGAGAAGCAAAGAUCAACCACUUCAGAAGAAGCAGAUUGCACUUCUAUGUCCAGGACUUUUCUGUUAUGGCUGGUCCGAUUGUUUUACCCUGCGUUCUAUGCUACUAAACCUUGGAUCAUUCCUAAAGUGCAAAUUCUGUUCUUGAACCACAAAAAAAGCUAAAAGAUCGGAGGAAAUUCAGUGAAUAUACAGGAAUGGGAUUGUGUGUUUUCAAAAGUGCUGAGAUUUAUAAUGCAAUUAUUCAAGAAGUAGAAUCAUUUUUUAUGUUGUUGCCAGCAUUUUAAGUUACAUGUUUAUUAAGUGGCAUUGAUCAAAUAACUACAGAUUAUGCAUGGACGUAUUUGCUGUCUGAAUAGUUUGGCGAUUUAAAGAGAAAAAUCAAGCUUCAGAGGUGUCUGGAGGAAUUCUGAGUAUCAAGUGAAUGUUCUGUGGAAUCAUCUUUCCUUGCCUUUGAAUUAGCUUUCCCUAGGCAAUGAGUCAACAUCAAUAUUUUAUUUCUUCAAAUUGGUACUCAGAGAACCAUGACUCUCAUCUGGUGCUUUCAAAAUAUGAAACCAAUUGGAGGCUAGAGAAGAGAACAUAACAACAAAACAUACAGUGGCUCACCAGAUAAUGAAGUUUGAGCAGCAUCGCAUUAGUGAAUAUCAGCAAUGAAUCACUCAAAGCAUCUAUCUUAAAUUGGAUGAAAUCUCAAAUGAGUGCCAGAAGAAAGGCCCUGCAUAAAUGCAAGAUACCUAAUGGACUACACUGAGAACCUGGAGCAGGCUGAGCAUUUGGAGCAAAAGGAUGAGCCUAUUAUAAAAAUAAGCAAGAACAACCAUAGGCAACUCUAAGAUUCUAAUUUCUAUGGAGCCAUAGCAGCAAGAUGUUCUGGACAAAAUUACAUCACAGAUUACCUUACAUCUCAUAUUAUAGAGUAUUUUAUUCUAUAUGGGUAGUAAGAACCCAACAUGCAACCUACCUUCUUAAGUGAUUUUUAAAGAUAUAAUAUUUUGCUGUUGAACACAGUAGGCACAAGGUUAUACCUUACAUAUAACAUAUGCCAUUGAGUAGUAAGUGCCCAUUUUUUCCUUCUCUCAGUGCCCAGAAAUCACCAUUCCACUCUUUGGUACUUUGAUUUGACUAUUUUAGAUACUUCACAUAAGUGAAUUUUGCAAGUCUUUUUGAAACUAGUCUCUAUUAGCAUAAUAUGCAGAAGGUCAUCAAUAUUUCUGCUUAUUGCAUCUUUCCUCUGUAAGGUAGAAUCACAUUCUAUUAUAUACACUGUAUUUCUUUAUCUAAUCAUCUGAGGGUGGCACUUAGGUCAAUUCUACAGUUUUUCUAUAUAAAUAUGCUAAAAUGAAGAUAAGAGUGCCCAUGUCUCUUUAAGAUUCUGAUUUCAGUUCUUUGGAAAAAUAAUAAGAAAUGGGAUUUCUGGCUCAUAGAUUAUUUUAAUUAUAAUUUUCAAAGUACCUUCUGUAUUAUUUUCCUGCACUAUUUUUACACUCCUACAAGGAGUGUACACUCCACAUUCACCAAUAUUAUUGUCUUUCUUUUUUUGAUGAGAUUUUUAACAAGUGAGACAUGAUAUUUCUUUAUGAUUUUCAUUGGCAUGCCCUUAAUGACUACUGUUCAGUGUUGUUUGUAUACCUAUUGGCUAUUUGUAUGUCUUCUUUGUAAUAAAGAUAUAAGUAAGUCUCUGGCUCAUUUUUAGUCAGAUUUUUUUUUUGCUUUUAUUUGUUUGUUUUUUAUUCAGUUAUUUGAACUCCUUAUCCAACAGAUUUAUUUUCUACAGUUUCAUAUUUCAUAUUAAAUCCAUAAAAUUGACUAUUUUAAGUAAGAUGUUUUUGUGUUAUUUUGAACUUUAACAAAAAUGUGUCACAUACAUCUUAUAUGAAGUAUUAGUAAUUGUUGGGUUAAGAAAACUCAAGUUCUGAGUAGUUCACUCAAAAAAACUUGAAUUAGUUGAAUUCAAAGAAAUGACCAUCACUCAGGAAGCCACAGAGAAAUAUUUCAGCAGAUGUUCUUGUGACAGCAUUUGUAAUUAGGAUAUGAAAAAGCUUUGUGAAAUGGAUUUCUCUUUUGAACAUUCACCUUAAUAUAUUUCUCAUUAAAUUCUACUUUGUCAUGUAUGUGGCUCAUAUUUUUGUGAAGGUUUUACAAUUUUUAUAUCUAUUUAUUAUUCAUUUGCAAAAGGUUUUUUUUGUUAUUGUUUUGAGACAAGUUCUCACUACGUAGCACAGGCUGGCCUUGAACUAGCACAAAUCCUUCUGCUUGAGCUUCCCUAGUGCUGGGAUUAUAGAUGUGUGGCACCACAUGUGGUCUUUUUUAGUAAUUUGACUAAUUUGUGAUAGAAUAUUAAUUCUCAUCACGCAUUUUUAAAGUUUCCUUUCAGUGAUAGAGUUGUUGUUCAGAGAAAGCAUGCCUUCAAUUAACAUUCAAAUCCAAAGAGUCCUUAGUUUACCCUGAUAAAGAAGAACAUUUUGGAGAAGGAUGUGAGUCAGCAUUACACAUCUUACAUGUUUUCUCCUGCAGCACCUUUUCUUCUUUUUUUUAAAAGCAAAACAUAUUAACAGAUUUCUAUGUCAAAUCUAAGGCCUUGUUACACAUGGGCACUGGAUUUUGUUAACCUGCACUUUUGAAGAAAUAGUAAUGGUAACUGUGAAACUGAAGAACUUUAGCGUUAGUGGAUACCCUAAGUGCAUCCAUCCUCUACUCUGGAAGAUUGGAAACUUCUGGCAAUACACCUGACUUACAGUGCAUUCUACUCUAAGAAUUAAUAUUUUCUAUUGUAGAGGACAUACCACUUUCAUGGGAAACUGUUGAUGUCUUUGGGUAGUGCUAAGUUUUAGGAAUGUCUUUCAUAUACUAAGCAUAUUUAGUCUCCGUAUCAAUAGAAUAUAUGUUGACAUAACAGUAUUCUAAAAGUCAGUGAUCAGUUUUCACGCUCUUGUCACCUUUGAAUCUUUAGUUCAAUUUAAGAAUCUCUAAAAUUAUGAGAUUAUUGCUAUUCAUUUACAUAGAGGAAAAGGAUACUGUAUUUUGGAUCAUAAAGUCAGCCUGAGGUAUUUUAACCCAACUACAAUGAAUUAAGAUCCAACUACAAAGUUACAGGGAAAUGUCUACAAAAAACUAUCCUUAUUGCUAAUGUCAACUACAUAUCCAGGAUAUUCUAUAACCAGCUUCAGCGUCAAUAUUUUCUAGAAAGUUUCAGUACUGAAGCUAAUUAUACCUACAUUUCCAUUUGUUACAGGCAAAUGAUACUUAUAAUCACCCAAAGGAAGAGAGCUUUGGUGUAAGAUUUUACAUGCAAAGUCUCUGUUGUUACAAAGAUGCGAUACACUGUCACUCCUGAUGUGUGAUGAUACACUUAGUUUCCCCCUCCUACGCCCCUCCCACCUUUCAGUCUCUUUUGUACUGCAAUAACAGAAUGCAACAGCUAGGCAGUUUACAAUAGACAGACUUGUAUUUCACAGUUGUGGAAGCUGGGAAAUCCAGGGAAAGAAUGAGCAUCUGUUGAGAGCCUUCUUGCUGUGUCAUAUGGCAAAGGGCGAGGGCAAAAAUGUGUAUGAGAGAGAUAGAGAGAGAGAGAGAGAGAGAGAGAGAGAGAGAGAGAGAGCUGAACUCCUCCUUUUAUAAUAAACACCCUUCCACAAAAAUCCCACAAUAACAUCAGUCUACUCACUCUGUGCUCAUGUCCCAAUCGUUUCUCAUUAGGAUCUGUGUCAUGUCACUGUUGAAUUCAUGAUUAAGUUUGUAACACCCAAUUUUUGUGGCACACAUUUAAACCAUAACAGUAUAAAAGUAGUGUUGACAGCUGGACAAGCUCACCUCGGCUCCAGUGUUCAGUUUUCAGUGGGGUUUCAUUAGGUAGGCAUGAUUGAUUGAGUGACUGAAAUACUAGAUUGUGCAAAGAGCCCUCGAGGAACAACAGAGACAUUUUGAUAACUUGAGAAAUUUCAAAGGUUUGGAGAUCAUCAUAUCCUAGUGACUAAGUACAGAACCAGAUUAUUGGUGAAACUGUACUUUUCAAUAUAAUAUUUGCUAUUUUCUUAGCUAAAAUUACUCUGAUUCCUUAAUCUAACAUGAGGUAUAGUUUUAGAAGCUUGGCAUAUCUUUAUAUCCCUAGAUAAUCUCUAAUUUAUUAUUUUAUUUUAAAAUAUAUAAUUCAAAUUCCUCAUCUUCCAUACCUAUGUCUAUAUUAAAGAAUUAGGUCCUAACUAAGUGUGAAAUAAUUCUUUGAACUUAUAGUCAGCAGACUUAGAGUCCUGAUAUUUCCAGACACUGGAUCUUGGAAACAUUAUAGUUUCUUUCCAGUUCCUCAUGGAUACAGUAUUAUCAAUAAUACCCACUUCAUAUUUUGUGGAGACUAAUUAAGACCACAUGUAAAAGUUUUCAUUCAUUAUAGGAGCUUGAUAAAUGUUUUCUGAAAAAAAAAAAAACCUGGAGUCUAAAUUUUAGUUAAAGAAGUAUGUCAAGCAGUGCCUGCCUGUCAAGUCGUAUAGAAUAGAUGAAUGCAUGUAUUAUUUUGAUAAAAACAGUGUUCACCUCACUUUAUCAAGUAUUAAUCCAAUCCAUGGAGAAGUGCAAAGUGACUGAGAGGAAGAAAGCCUGUUUCUGUGCUUCUGGAGUUAGAAUAUAUUGAUAAAUGUCUUUGAUACAAGGAGACUGGAAAGAUGUUGAAUUCUGGUAAAUAACUGGUGUAAUGGUGUCCAAGAGAGGAAAGAAUUCUAUCGAGAUUAUUAGAAGAAUGCGUCUUCAUAAAAGCCUUAUGUCACUGAAGGUCCAAAGAAGCAGGAAAAUAUUAACCGUACUUUGGGGAAAAUUGAAUAUCUUUUUGUUUCAGAAUGUCUAAAUUAACUCACUUGAGAAGAAAGGGAACUUAUCAACAAUAUAUAAAUAAAUUAGCCAUGAAUACAAGAAGAAAGAAAAUUUUUAAAAUAAAAUUUUCUUAGAAAUAAGAGCUCUCUAAAUUAUGAUAAUUAUAAAAAGGGAAGACUUUUAGCCAAAAUUUAUUUAUAUUUAUAUAAAAAUAUCUUGUUGACCUUAUUGAAUUAAGGAAGAAAUAUUUUAUUUCGAGCAGGCUUUGAGAGUUGUAAAUGUUUAAUUCAUCAAAUAACUCAGCUAUAUUCAUAGAAAAUAAUUUUCAUGCCAGGCACUGCUGUAGGCACUGGGGACGUAUGUCUAGAAUAAGGCAGAGAAAAUCCUGCCCAUAUAAAUAAAUCAGCAGCUAUUUAGCAAUGUGAGAUGAAGAAGGCAGUGUUGCUUAUGAUCACACUAAUUCCUAGUGUAGGGCACAUUGAGCAGAAACUUGGAACUAAGGUUUCUGCAGGGAAAACAGAACAAGAUUCUGGAGUGUGCUUGGAUUUUUCCGUAGGAGGCAGGAGUUUGAAAUGGCUGAAGGAAGAGAGUGCGUGAAAACACGUGAGAGACUGCUGUGGUGUCAGGCUUUGUAACCCAUUAUAAAGACUGAGUAUUCCUGCAAGUUGCCAUCUCUGCAGCUUGAGUCACGCUUCCCCCUCUAGGCUUCCACCCCACUCUCAAGACGUGUUUUUGUGUUUUCUGUGCUUCAUGGUAUAGUAAUCGUUAGCCAUACCAGGCUUUUGGGAAUUUGGAAUGUGACUAGUUCAAAUGGACAGUACGAAAAAUAUAAAAUUCCUCCAUAAUUUUUGAGUUAUUUAAUAUGUAGAAAUGCAAAUAUGUUGAUAUUGGGUUAAGUAAGAUAAAAUAAAUUUCAUCUGCAUUUUUCUUAAAGUCGAUGUUUGUAUUCUGAGAUAACUCUAGAUCGAACAAAUAAUACAGAAAGCGUCUGUGUACCUUUUCUCUGUCUUUACUCAGUGCUAAUAUUUUGAAUAUGUAUAGCCACUAUAUUGCUGUUAGGGUAUUGACAUGGCACAUUGUCCAUGUUUCUCCAGUUCUAAUUGUACCUUUGUGGUUUUCGAUUUUAUACAAUUUCAUUCCAAAUGUAAGAGUUUUUUAUCCAAAAUAUAGGACAGUUUUUCCAUCACAGGCACCCUCUGUGUUGCCUUUUUUAUCACCACUCUUGCAUAUUUUCGGUGUCCUGUCCUCUCAUCUCAGUCUUGAUCACUAACAACCAGUAGUUCAUUCAUUUCUGUCCUCCCCACCCCGAAGAUUGUACCAUGCUAUAUACAAACUAGUUUUUUUUAAUCUUUAAAAAGUAACUUGCCAUCUUGAUUCUGGGUUUUUUUUUUUUCCUUGUUUUUCUGAUAUAGAGUCUUUCUCUACAGUUCAUGCUGUCCUUGAGCUCACUUUGUAACCCAGGCUGGUCUCAAACUUACAGUGAUCCUCUUGCCUCAGCCUCCCAAGUGCUGGAAUUGCAGGCAUGUACCAUCACACCCCACUUUGAUUUUGCUAUUAUUAAUGAAGCUACCAAAAACAUUCUUUUGCUUGUAGAGUAAUUGCAUAUUUAUUUUUAUAGGACAUGGAAAUUCUAUUCCCGAGUCACGGUAUUUUCAGUUUUCAGGGGAUUUUUUUAAAUAAAAUAUAAGCACUAGAAAAUUUAAUGUUUCCUAUGUAAAUGUCCACAUUUCUGUCAGGUAACGCUACUUUGGCCUGCAGUACUGAGUUGUUUCCUCUUCCGGUGUCUCUCGUGUGCCUUUAUUUCCAUCUGGUCUGUUUUCAGUAUUUCCUAACAGAUCACACAAAUGUCUGUAGUGCAAUGGUUAAGGGGAAAAAAAUCCAGAUGCUCUGAUACGGCUCACUGACAUACACCUUACCAGCUGUGUGACAUAUGAAGGUUAUGUGAAGCUGUUUAAUGCCUAUGCAUCCAGUUUUCCGAUCUGAGAAUGAGUGAUCAUAGCGGUGCAAAUCUGAUUGGGCUCAUACGGUUAUUGGGUUAGCAUACAUGAAGUUUUUUUCUGUUAAGAUCCUUCUGAACUCCUCCAGAAGAACAAGAUUAAAUCCACAUAUAGGUUUCCAUUGUAGCCAACACCCUGACAAAUUGUGUUUAUAUAAUUAUCUCAUAUCUUUACUGCUAGACUGUAAGCACCUAUGAGGGCAGUGACCUCGUCUGUGUGAUUUAGUGCACUACCCUUAGUGAUGACAAUAUAAGGCGAGGCGCUUGAGGUAUCAUUUUACAGUGAAUGAGUGAGUGAAUAAAAGACAAAUUCCUUCAAUGUAACCAGGAUUUACUUAUCAAGUAUUAUUUAAUUUGUUUUCCUUAACUUUUUAGAAAAACCAUCUAUUAAGUUGUAACUGUAAGUUAUCUGAUCAGUUGUUAUUUGAGAACCCCUAUCUAUGAAAUGUGAUGAAAAUAUGGUAAAUAAAUUUAAAUUACUAAAUUAUUACAAAAAACCUACUGCCAUUAAUUUCAAAAUAUUUCCCCUUUUUAAGGCAUGCUUAUCUCAUUAUUCUUUCUACUUUCUGAAGCAGUUGUGGAAAUUCUUUUGAAGAACCCAAAUUUUCAGUAGGUGACACUGGCAAAGCAGUUCUUCUUUAUAGCUUUGUUCAUAAUUUUAUGUCAAUAUUACAAUUAUUUUAGAUCUUAAAUAGGUUAAGUCCAUAACAUUGUUAAGGAAUUUACAAAGAAAGCACGAUAAAACACAAAAUGGUUUUCAUUUACACACUUUGUUUGAAAUUGGAGCUGUAUACCAAUGAUCAUGAUCAAUAGCACACAUUUUUAGACACACACACGUGCGUUUUGUCAUUAUCCAUCUUGAUUUUCUCACUUGCUGAGGAUGGUUUCUAUGGUAGAAAAAAUACUGAUGUCUAUUGCUUUGAUCUAAGGUAAUUGAAGCUCGUGUUUACCAUUUUAUUAUCUGUGUGCCAAUUUUCAGGCAUGAUCUAUGUCUGUGUCUGUGUAUCUCUAUCUAUGUCUAUGUCUAUAUCUAUAUCUGUACCUGUAUCUAUAUCCAUAUCUAUAUCUUUAUCUCCAUCCCUAAUGUUCCCACAUGUCCUUAGUGACAACUAUCAUUAGCCUCAUUUUAUAAAUUGGAUAUGUUGAGUGGCAGAAAUGUAACUUAACUUCACAUAGCUAUAUCUAAGAUUAUGCCACAAGAUGGUGGUUUCUACUUUCAAACUAAUCUAAAUGUCACUUUUCUCCACUGAAAUGCUAUAAUUGGGCUCAAAUUUGUAUGAAACAUGUCAAAUUGUAACAGAAAGAUUACAGUACUUGUUUCUUGCUUUAAUGUGUUUUAAUAUUCAGUUUAAAAAACAGAAAUGAUAAUAUUUAUUAUUUACUGUGUGCUAUAUUAAAUCAUUCACUGGGAUUAUUUUAUGUAAGUAUGGCCACACAGAUGGCUACUAUAAUUGUAUUUACUUUACCUUUUAGAAAUAGGUUAAGAGAAAUUAAGUAAUGGUUCAAGGUGAGAGAGUUAGAACUAUUAAAAGAAGGAUAUAAAUCUGUGUAAUGUGAUAGUCAAGCCUUUAUGAAUGAUGUAUAUUGCUCUUAUUUCAGUAAUUUAAGUUGGUUAUUUGAGUUAAUCAUGUAGAAAAUGACAUUUCCUUUUGCUUUCAUAUGGUUUAUAUUCUUCAAUAUUUUUCAUUCAUGUGUAGUGAAUGACAUAUUUUCUCUUUUCUGUGCAUUUAUAUUUAUUGUGUUUCUAUGGUUUUUAUAAAUAAAUCAGACCAUGACAACAACAAA